rnacentral:lncRNA from 1 species
UUUUAUUUUUUUUUACUUUUCUGAUUUUUGCACAGGAUACAAAAUAUAUUAUUGGACAGAAUAUAGAUAGCACCACACAGCAAUAGCAGAUUCAUCGAAUACAAUAGAAGAUUAGUCUCCGAAUACAAUUCAUCAUAUUAGUCUCCGAAUUCAAAAGACCGAACAAAGAUAGAACAUUACAAGUCUCGAGACUGCGAGUAGCGAGUUUGCCUUCACAUUACAAGUCGAUAUCGAUCAUCUAAACUACCAUCACAUAGAAGAGAGUUGCGGUCAUCACGAUGAGCAUCAUCGUGAUGAAACUGCUCUUCAUCCGGUUCCUCCAACGCUCCCUCCUCUCUCCCGCUAGAUAGCGGGCGUAUCUAGAUUCCGCCUCCGCCCUAGUGGUGUACCCUUUGUAACUGUUACCACUGAAACGGUGAACCUGUCUCCGACGCUCCUCCCAGACGUCGUAGACUCCGGGAACCUUACCCUUGUACACGACAUACGACGGAAUCUCUAUGCACAAGCCAAACAAUAGACAAUACAUAAGCAAUAUAUAAGUAUGCAACAAAAGGAUCGGAAGAGAAAAGCAAGACAUUAAUAGCAUGAUUCAUGGUCCUACUAAUAAAUAGCAUCGAUUACAUCUAAGUUGAACGACUGUCCAAACCAAAGAGACAUACAAUUCAUUAAAGUUUAAUUACAACAUGAGCCAAUCAAUGUUUCAGAACUACACAUAGCAUCACUACUUUCGACUCGACUCAUGAGACCGGAGCGUGGAUGAAGCCGCCGUCUAUCGUGAUGGUCAUGAAAUCACGGGCAUUAUCAGCCUGCAUUUGUAGCGUUGUGUCUAUCUCACUAUUGGAUGGUUGAUAUCUGAGGUAGAACUGCCCCGAGGUAUGAAGGACAUCUUGAUCGAUGAUGUCCACAAACUCCGACUGGAUGUGAAAGAAUUCUUGUCUGAUGUCCGCAUCCUGGAUUGCCGACAAGCUCGCGGCCCAAUCUUUGAGAUUAUCUGGUAGCAGAAGGUGAUGAUGGUCCCGUACGAUCGCCCGCAUGUGAUGGAGGGCGUAGUAGGCAUCCUUCUGACCGCCAGGCGGCUGCUUGACGUAGCAGAACUUAGUAUUGUGGGCGAACACAUGCCUGCCGUACCUACGAACUGGCCUGGUGAAGGUGCCUCCAGAUUUUGCGUAGCCGGGGAGAACAUCAUAAGAACUUUCUUGAUAUUUGUGUAGUCUAUCUUGGAGUCACGGUUCGGGUCGAAAUACGUGGCCAUGGAAUAUUUCGGGCUUAAGAGGAUGAGUGUGCAAUGUGUGUCACUGCACAGAACACGGAAUGUUAGAAAAAAAAAAAGAAUGAUCGAAAUCUAAGAAAUCAUAUGUUACGGGGCGGUUAGGGGAUGACUUACUCGGGAAAGUAAGGCACGAGGAAGUUAUCCUUAUCUGGGUUUGCCAGAAUGACGCCUUCGAGGUAUGAACUCGCGACUUGGCGGUCCCCAGCGCUGCCCAAGAGCUUGGCACGCAUGUAGAAGGGGUCGACUAUCACGAUGUCCGGGGUCUUGUCUCUAAUGAUCUGCAUCUCCAUACUCAACGAAAACAGCCGAACGAAGGUGUAGUGCAGCGGAUGAAGGUUAAACAUAGCAAAGAUGUCAUCAAACCACUGGACGAUCGUACCCCCGAUGGCGCCAUCCACAAAGCCCUUGCCCUCUGGCACCUUGGCCACGAAAACCGGGUAUGCCACAUCAUUCUCUCUGAGACGCCGCUUCUCCAAAGAAAGAACACUGUCAUGCAGACUCCGCAUAGCACCGGUUGCAGCAUUGAGCAUAUUUGUCGGUAGCAUCGCCCUACCCGCCACAUGCACCCUCCUCGAGAUAUCCUUAGGUGAAGGUGGCCCGUCCUGAGCACGGAUCGUACUCGGUGCCGGCUGGCUCGCACCGACGCCCUUUUUAGUCUUUCGUUUCUGUCCCUUCUUCUUGAUCUGCUGUAAUGGGACCGAGUUCUGCUCACAUACCGCCUUCUCGAGCAUGUUGGGGCUGAUAAUAUUUCGCACCUCAGCUAUCUGAGGCUCGGUGAAGGCGGCAGCCAGAGGCGUCUCCUGAGAACUGAACGCUAGAUGACGCCUGUUGCAAUUGGGUUUCUCCGCCGUACCAGCUAUAUCGCGGUCGUCUUGGUUGGGUUCUUGAGAAGGAGGCCCGCAGAACUCGUCACCGUACCCAUGUUCGGCAAAGUACUUAUCGAUGUUGGUAAAUGUACCAUCGUCGUUGUCGUCGUCCGGAUCCUGUGCCAUAUGCAUGUCUGGAUCCUGUGCCAUAGGGAUGUCCAGCAUGUCCGGUAGCGUUGCGGCGUUCUUGCCAUGGCUUGGCGCCGGCACGACUGGCGGUCUUGUCUGUGGGGUGGUGUCCCCCGCCCCAAAACGAAUCUGGCUCUUCGGCCAAAGCAGGGGCCAGCUUACGCAGGCGCUGAGGGUCAUCUCAUCUUCUUCGUCGGCCCCAGCGGGUCGAAUUGGAGGUAACAGCUCGUCACAGCCUGGCAGCACCCAAACCACUUCAACCCUAUACAUUGUGGGUGGCAUCGGAUUACCGUGGAACAUGGGGUUGCCCGGUUGAAUGAUUCUGCCCUUGGAGACAUCGACCAACUCGCUGCCAAUGAAGUGCAUGAGAGUGCAAGGAACGUCGGCGGCGCCCUGCGAAAACAUGUAGGGUGUCAGGGAUGCCUAGUCAAAGGCAAGGAGAUGAAGUCAUCGGUCGAGAGGCUUAGUUAACGUGAUGCCGUCGAGCUCGGCUAAUGUCGAGGCACCACCAACGGCGGGCGUGCAACUAACGGAGGGGGCGCUUGCUGGCGAGGUGUCGUCCGGCGUACACCCGAGUGCAUCAAGCUCCAAUGCCCGUGCCGGCGCCGGAGACACGAAUACCGCCUCCGCCGGAGACACCAAUGGCGUCGCCGGAGACACCAAUGGUGCCGCCUGCGCGUUGUGCGAGUUGCUGGCCGUGAAGCUGGGAACCGGGGGAGGCCCCUGUUGGCCGCCCGCAAUCCACGUCGUCAUCCCAUGAAUCAACGUAGGCACCAUGGCGUUGAGCGUCGUUCCUAGUUGUUGUUGCACUUGCUCUUGGACAAUCUCCGGAAUCCACGUCACUUGUGCCUUGAGUGCUUCAACCUCGCGCAACUGGCUUUCCGUGCUGGUCUUUUUCUCCUUUAGCCCACCAGCGGUAUAGUAUGACGACCAUUUUGUGGACAAGCCUUUGCCGGCCACACGACCAGCUAACGUCGGCUUACUGAGCUUAUCCUUGUUUUUCAUUACGUUCAACGCCCUAUUUAAAGGGGUGUCGAAAGGGGAGCUCUGAGACGACCCCGCACUACUGCUUUCUGUGUCCUGCGGAAGGAACGUGAACCAUUUAGAAAUAUUGGGGAUUAAUUAGAAUGCAACCAUAUGGAGCUAAUUAUGCGGGGGUGUAUUCCUUACCAGAACAAGCUCAAGCGCCCUGGUCUUCAGAUCCGUGGUAAGCUCCUUUGUUACCGGGUCCUCCUUGUACCGGGCCCUGAGAAAGUUCCUGGUCUGCUUGCCACGAUAUUUCUUGAAGCGGGGCGGUAGGCCUUGCUCGGCAUGCUCCGCGUCCUCCUUGUCCCAUAUAGGCUCCGCCACUCUGUAACCGCCGGGACCGAGUUGGUGGACCCCUAAGUUCAACUGUCGCAUUUCUUUCCCCUACUGACUUGAUUUGGAGGUUGCGCUGCUCUCACACUUGAUCUUGAACUCCUUGUAGUCAUCUUCGCUCAUCAAAGGAUAUUUCGCCUUGAUCUUCUCAUAACUAUCACCUUUUUCAAUCAUUGCCUUCACCGUGCUUCUCCAAGUAGACAGGGCCGUGCUCAUCCUCGUGAGGGCGGCACUGUUCACUUUAUUCCCUGAGAGGCGUGUGUUUGCAAACUCAGCGGGGAACUUGUAUCGUUCGUGCAGCUUCUUGAAGAGGAGGCUGCGCAAAUUCCCUCGGUCCUUAUGCCUUAGGUUUCGGUGUUGAUCGAGAUGGUGCUCCGGAGAAUGCACCCGAGCUGAACCGAGUACCCCUUGACUACUUCUUUGGGCGCCGUCGGAUGCCCGUCGGAGUUCACUUCAGUAAAUUCCUCCUUGACGGUGCCGAGCACGCUCGGGCGCCGGUCCUUCCGUUGCCUCUUCGGUUGGCUGCCAUCUGUGCGUGCGCUGCCAUCAUCAGUGGUGGCAUCCUCGGCGGCACCAUCAAUGGUGUCAUCCCCGACGCCACUAGGGGUUGUGUAGUCAGGAUUGAUGUCUUCCGUGGCGUCCUCAUAGCGGUGAGGUUCUUCCUCCAACUCCUGGGACAGCUCCCAGAAUUGCUUGUCGCCCGAACCACCGGCCUCAUCGUUGUGGGCCAUGUUUUGCUCUAAAUAGGAAAAAAGUUUGGUCAAAAAGUUGGUUAUUGUCAAGGAACAAGAUCAUGGUCUCAUCAUUUAGGGUUUGUCGACACCGAGGCAUCCUAAAAGCUAAGCUUUUAUCAUUUAGGGUUUGUCGACGCCGAGGCACCCUAAAAUCCUAAGCGUACAUCAUUUAGGUUCUCAUCGACACCGAGGCACCCUAAAAGCCAAGGUUUUAUCAUUUAGGGUUUGUCGACUCUAAGUUGGGCCUAAUCACUUGGCUCUAUUGCCACCUAUGGUUUAAUGCAGCAAGAAUAAAGGGGCAGUUGAUCCUACUUAAUUAAGUACUAAGAUACCCCGGCCCAUGCAUUAGUAGCAAGUACCCCAUAUGUCCGAUUUUUAGCAAAGUCAUGCUAAAAUUCACGGAAAAUUUCAGCAUGACCUUUGCUGAAAAUAGGACAUAUGGAGUACCCGAAUUUGCCGGAACGGAAGUUAAUCGACAUUCCGGCAAACUCAAGGGCCUCUCGGGGUACCUGCAAAAUCAUCACGACACGAAGGUCGGAGACAAAACCCAGCAAACUAGCACCACAAUGUGCCUCUACUUUCAUAUGGAUGAAAAUGCCACAGACCAUAUGGUCCUCUGCUUUCAUAUGGACAAAAAUCAGCUCAACUUAUGUGAGCUUCCAUUCCAGAUCUAAUAGGUCACCCAACAAAAAAUCAUCAAUAGUUUAGCAAGUCUGUACAAACACAGAAAGAAUAGAAAGUUUGCUGCCUACUCAAACACAGAAACAAAACACUACUUGAAACUUCUGCUACAUUUGGACCAUGGCAAUUUACUUUCAUGGAGCAUGUGCAUUGAGUCCAGAAGCAAAGACUCUAUAGUGAAAUGAAAAAAAACCUUGGAAAUAUAUUUAUGAUAACUCUGAAUGGAUCAGAAGGUGCAGAUGCACUUGUAAAAAAAGGUAUGCAUUUGCAGCAGCUUUGUUCUGAUGAUGACACCAUUUUGUUAAGAAGGCAAGAUACACAUACAUACAGGUAGGAUCUGCAGCUAUCAAUUGCAAUCUGACCACCAUUAUAACAUGUGCCUCCAAAACCUAGUACUGAAAGGUGGAAGCAGGGUAGGAAAAAAGUGUUGUCGAUGAUGCAGACAUGGCUGGCUGGCUGGCUCCAUUGACACACACAAUCAAUGGGCCUCCCAAAUUAAACUGGCCACCCAGCCAGCUAGCUAAUGAUACUAGUCCAUGAUUAUGCCCUGUUUUUAGCCAUGAAUUUCUCUAGAGAUGAUUCAUGACACUGCACCAACGGUCAGAGCACAUCUCUCUUUUCUUUUUUGUAGCCCAAGGUAUCCACCAAAUAAGAUCCAAUUAAAAAGAAAAAAAUGGAGUUGUCUGCUUCAAAAAAAUAUGUUGUCCCAGUGUUGUAAGAUGGACCAACUGUAUCAAAUACCACCAAAGAUUAUAGUUGGUAGCGAUAACCAGUAUCAAGUUAUUCAGAGAAAAGAACAUUUUGGGGAGCUUUUUUAGCAUAUUUGUUAUGGUUCCUGUGGUAACUCUCAGCUUUCAUAUUCUAAUGAUACAUGGCCAUUGUCAUUGAAGAUGUCAUGAAUCAUCUCUAGAGAAAUUCAAUCACCUAGUACUAACAAAACAUCCAUACAUUACUAAUGAAUUUUGUUUCUAGGUGACAAUUAAAACCUAGUACUGAAUUUACUAAUGAACUGAUGAUGCAGAGAAGCGUAGGAACAAAACCUAGUACUGAAUUUAGUGCUUGCACUGAACUCUGAAUACCCAGGUGAUAAUUAAAACUUGGACUGAAAGUUCCCUUUCCCAUUCAAAUGUUGUUUCUCUCACCCAUACAUUACUAAUGCGCCACCAACACUUGUGUUCAUACUAGUACACUGAACUAAAUUCAGAGUACUGUCGAAUACUAGUACACUAUACUAGUACAUUGAACUAAUGCAAAGGCUUGCUAGUACUUUUGAAUCAGACUGGACAGAUCAAAUGUUCUCUUGAGAUUGAACGAGAUCGAUCUAGGGUUUGAGCGAGGCGCACUAGGAGACGGCAAAGACGGCGAAGCAGAGGCAGCGGGUGACGCCGGAGACCAGCAGCUGCGCGAGGAGGAGCACGAAGAAGGCGCAAACGUCAUAGAUGGUGGAGGCGUCGGUGUCGUAGAGGCAGUAGGAGCGCUCGUCGUACUCGUCCGGCACCACCUUGCCCUGCGAGACAGAGAAGGGGCCGUCGGCCCCGGUGCAGGUGGGGGGCAAGGGGAGGAGGAGGGUGGGAGGGUCGGGGAGGCGUAUGGUGCUACCUCGCUGCUCAGCGCCGACGGCGAGGAGGAAGGCGAAGAUGUUGAGGAAGAUGAGGAAGCCGCCGAGCGCGAGGGAGGCCAGACGCGAGGUGGCGAACCCGGCCGCGGGCGGAGGGGGGACGGCGAGGGAGGCGGCGCUCGGCUCGGGGACGGCGAGCAUGGGGAGCAGCGAGCACGGCCCGGGACGGCGAGCAAGGGGGCAGUGGUGGUCGGUUGUGGUCGGGCACGGGUGAGAUGAGAUAGGGGGAGAGAUUAGAGAGAAAUGUGAGAGGUUGGGGAUUUAGUGUGGGGGGAGCUUACUAAUGGCGCACCCCGCGGCGGUGCGCCAUUAGUAUAUUUUUUAGAUAGCAAUGGCGCACCCGCGGUUGGUGCGCCAUUAGUAAUCAUUUUUUUUAUAUAGCAAUGGCGCACCAGCAAGAGGUGCGCCAUUAGUAAUCUUUUUUUAUAUAUAGCAAUGGCGCACCAGCCAGAGGUGUGCCAUAAGUAAUUUUUUUUAUUUUUUGUUGCAUCUAAUAAUUUUUUAGAAAAUUAAUAUGAAUAUGAAACAGUAAUAUUUUUUAAUAAAAACAGUAAUAAUUUUUUAAAAAAUACAUCAAAUUUAUUAUUUGAAAAUAUCAUCAAAUUUGUUAUUUGAAAAUAUAAUCAAAUUUGUUUUUUUUUGCAAUUUUAGUUGCAUUCAUUUGUGACGGGGGAGCGGGUCNNNNNNNNNNNNNNNNNNNNNNNNNNNNNNNNNNNNNNNNNNNNNNNNNNNNNNNNNNNNNNNNNNNNNNNNNNNNNNNNNNNNNNNNNNNNNNNNNNNNNNNNNNNNNNNNNNNNNNNNNNNNNNNNNNNNNNNNNNNNNNNNNNNNNNNNNNNNNNNNNNNNNNNNNNNNNNNNNNNNNNNNNNNNNNNNNNNNNNNNNNNNNNNNNNNNNNNNNNNNNNNNNNNNNNNNNNNNNNNNNNNNNNNNNNNNNNNNNNNNNNNNNNNNNNNNNNNNNNNNNNNNNNNNNNNNNNNNNNNNNNNNNNNNNNNNNNNNNNNNNNNNNNNNNNNNNNNNNNNNNNNNNNNNNNNNNNNNNNNNNNNNNNNNNNNNNNNNNNNNNNNNNNNNNNNNNNNNNNNNNNNNNNNNNUCAUCAGCGGCGGUGGAGCGGGGAGGGUGCGGGGGGUCGGCGGCGGCCGGUGGAGCGGGGGAGAGGGUGCGAGGGGUGCUCGGCGGCAAGGGGGACCGGAUCUGGCGAGGUGGGAUAGCGAUCGAGAUGGAGGGGGAUCGAGAUCGAGUGUCCAUGAAAUUUAAAAAUAUUCAUGAUAUCAAAAAGUGCCCAUGAAAUACAAUCGAGAAAUGAAGGCUACGAUUUAAAUACAAUCGAUCUUAGCUAGCUAUCUGUUCACAAUCUUGUUGCCCUUCUUUUUGGCAAAUGGAGUUCUUCUGUGGAACGGACGUCCUUUAGGUAGGGUGGUCCUGCUUCUUCUUGUGGUGUAUGUUGCUACUUCAUCGUCGUCGUCAUGUUCGAUCUUCGGGUCGCCGUACUUGUAGAAGUCUUGCUCAUUGGCUACUCCAUCCAUUCUGAUGAUCUUCCUUUUGCCUCUCCUCACAACAACACGACUGGGCUUUGACGGGUCGGUAAUGAAGAAGCAUUGGUCCACUUGGGAAGCCAGUACCCAUGGCUCAUUUUUCACGGUGACGUUUGCGCCCGUGGUCUUGGAUUUGACUUCGGGUAUAACCAUGGUGGUGAAAUACCGGUCUUCUUUUAGGACGCUCUUGGCCCAUCUGACACGGAACAUCGGGACCUUCUCUCCAGCGUAGCUCAGCUCCCAGAUCUCCUCGAUCCUUCCGUAGUAUCUGUCCUUGUCGUUACCGGUGUAGGAUUCCAUCGUUACCUUGGAGUUCUGAUAACCAUCGCUCUUCAUGUCCUUGUCUUCGGUGUAGAAUGUGUAGCCGUUGAUAUCGUACGCCUCAUAGGUCAUCAGGUUGUGCUCAGCGCCCUGUGACAAGGCGAAUAUGAGUUGUUCUUCCACGGAAGAAUCCUCGUGUAAAGGGUACGACAGAAGCUUCUGCUUGAACCAACGCGUGAAACAUGAGUUGUGCUCUUUGAUUAUAUCUCCGUCCGUCCUCUGUUGGCCUCGGUCAUUGUACGUCUUCUCAAUAAAGGUUUUGUGCUCUACCACCCAAGGAUCGACCACGUCUAUGUGUUGUAGCGCGACUAGGUUUGCUCUUUCAAAGUCGGCGAGUCGACCCUCAAAGUUGACAUGCAUUUCGCGGCGACCCUCACGGUGACCCCAUCCAGCUAGCCUGCCGAGGUGCGUGUUGACGGGCAGACCAACGGAGUUCUCGAUGCCUAGAUAAUUCAUGCAGUAGGAGAUGCACUCUUCGGUCAGAAAGCCCCUGGCUAUGCUUCCCUCUGGACGUGACAUGUUGAGAAUGCAUCCUUUGAUGACACCAUUCAUCCUUUCGAAUGGCAUCAUGCUGUGCAGGAACGUCGACCCGAGUUGGAUGAUAUCCUCCACGAUAUGGACCAGCAGAUGCACCAUAACGUCGAAGAAUGCGGGCGGGAAGUACAUCUCAAGCUCGCAUAGUAUCACCACGAUCUCUUCCUAUAGCCUUCUAAGUUGCCUCACGCCAACCGACUUCCGAGAGAUAACAUCGAAAUAGUUGCAUAGGCCAAAUAGCGUUUCAUGGACGUGCGCGUCUAUGAUCCCACAGAUUGCAAUUGGAAGUAUCUGCGUCAUCAGCAUGUGAUAGUCGUGAGACUUCAUCCCACUGAACUUCUGCUCGCUGGGUCUAGAUAUCUGCGUAUCUUCCCCGCGUAACCGUAAGGAAGUUUUACUCCUACGAGGCAGGUGAAAAACUUCUCGAUCUCCUCCUGACUUAGAGUGAAGCACGCGGGAGGGUAGUCAUUUCCGGUCUUCUUGGCCUUUUUGCCUUUGCGACGACUUUUCGUGUCCUGCUUCGCCUCAUCAUCAUCAUCAUUAGCGUGAAGCUUCUCCCUGAUGCCCAUUGAUUCCAAGUCUGCCCUUGCUUUCGGCCCAUCUUUGGUCCUCUCUGGCAUGUUGAGCAGGGUACCUAGCAGACUCUCGCACACAUUCUUCGUGAUAUUAAUGACAUCAAGGCUGUGAGGCACACGGUGGAUCUUCCAGUACGGCAAGUCCCAGAAAACAGGCCUCGUUUUCCAUACCUUCAGCAGCAGCUCUGACGCCUUUCGCUUCUUUCUCGGCUCUGGUGCCUUUUGCUUCUUUCCUGGCAGUGGGCAAUCUUUCCAAUUUUUCAACAGCUCAUCUAUUUCCUCGCCGCUCCUCAUACGCGGGCAUCUUCGUGGUUCGGUUUCACCAUCGAACAGAUCCUUGCGUUUCCUCCACGGGUCAUCGUCGCGAAGCCACCUUCGAUGUCCCAUGAACAUGGUUUUCGAGGACCCAGUAUCUCUAUCUAGCUGGCGAUACAUUGUGUCAUCCAUGCACCUGACGCAUCCAGAAAAUCUGUGGACCACCUGCCCCGCGAGAUAUCCGUAAUCGAGAUAGUCGUGCACCGUCGUGAGCAGUGCGGCUCUCAUAGGGAAAUAUUCUUUCUCUGCGGCGUCCCACGUAUUGGCUGGUGUUUUCCACAGCGUGUCUAGCUCCUCUUUCAGCAGCCCCAGAUACAGAUUGAUGUCGUUCCCUGGUUAUUUCGGCCCUUCAAUUAGCAUACUAAUGUGAAUGUACUUCCUCUUCAUGCACAACCAGGGGGGAAGGUUGUACAUCCACACAAACACAUGCUAGGUGCUAUGUGUGCUUCUCUGGCUGCCAAACGGAUUGACUCCAUCGGUGCUCGCGCCCAGCACGAUGUUCCUUGGAUCCUUCCCAAAUUCUGGGUGUUCGAAGUUCAACGCUUGCCACUGGCUCCCAUCCUUAGGGUGACUCAGCAUUUUGUCUUUUUUAUUUAUCUCCGGAUCAUUUGUGUCAUCUUCUCGCUUCUUCUCCUCCCUAUCCGCGUGCCAACGCAGGAGCUUUGCUACCUUAGGGUCCGCGAAAUACCGCUGCAGACGAGGAGUGAUCGGAAAGUACCACAUCGAUUUUCGAGGAGCUUUCUUCCUCUUCUUGUAUCGAGUGACGCCGCACACCGGACAUAUGGUAGAGUCCGUGUGCUCAUCCCGAUAAAUGAUGCAAUUGUUCAUGCACACAUCGUAUUUCACGUGCGGUAAAUCCAAAGGACACACGGUUUUCUUCGCCUCCUCGAAAUUGGUCGGGCACUUGUUCCCCUUGGGAAGACGUUCAUGCCAGAAUGACAUGUUCUCGUUGAAGCAUGCGUCGGUCAUUUUGCGUUUUACCUUCAUCUCCAGAGCCAUGAGCGUUACUUUCAGGCGGGUAUCCUCGGGCCUGCAUCCUUCAUACAAUGGAGUAACCGCGUCUAUCUCCAGUUGAUCCAGCUUGGCUUUCUCUCGGGCGGCAGCUCUUGCGUUAUCCGUCUGCUUGAGAAGCAGCUCUUGAAUAUGAGGGUCAUGCACCCAGCCCAUCGAUGGUCCAUCGUCGUCUGCUCCGCCGGCAUCUUCAUCUUCAUGAUCAUGCCCUUCGUCUGCUCCGGCAUCUUCCUCAUCAUCAUGUCCAACAUCUUCUACAUGAUGAUUGUGUACAGCAUCACCGUCGUGAUCAUGUCCUGGAGAUUAUUUGUCUUCUUGCCCGCCCGAGUCGCGGUGGUUGUCUUGCUCCCCUUCCUCAUUUCUUGCCCGGCCCCCAUGGACGACUUCAUAGUCAUCUUCAUCACCUUGCCAUUGAUAGCCAUCCAUGAAACCACGCAAGAGCAGGUGGUCUCGCACCUGCCUGGAAUCCGGGUCCGCAAUAAGGCUCUUCAGCUUGCAUCUUCGACACGGACAUCUUAUCUCUGUCUCGUUCUUUUGAAGCAUCUCGGCCUUCGUGGAGCUCAAAAACCUAUUCACGAUGCCUUCGGUCAUCGUGCGGACCAUGGUCGCCUGCGGGGUAGAGCAAAACGAUAUUUUAGAACCAAGAAAAAAUUUGGCAUGACUUUCCCUUAAAAUAGGACCAAAAAGAAUGCAUGGUGCCAAAAUUCUCACCGAAACGGAAAUGAAUCAACAUUCCGGCAAAAUAUUGGCAACUAUCGCAUUUCAAAUACCGGUACCUGCAAACACAAACAUAUAUGCAACACCACAAACAUAUGCAACACCACAAACAUACAUAGAUCUAGCUAGGCCACAAAAAGUGCGUGUGCACGUUGUUGGAGCGAGCUAGGGAGAAAAAAGUAGAUCUACAACAUAAAGAUAGCUUUCCCCUUACUUACCUAUCAAAAAAGGUAAUUUAACCACUUAAUUUUGAUGAAUCUAUGGUGCAAAUGAGGCGAGGAGGAGGAGGCAGCCGACACAAGCUUGGAGAAGGAGGUGGAGGGAAUGAAGUGGAGAAAGUGAGUGUGUAGGUGUGGCUGUCCAAAAUAUCUAGCUGGUCCCAGGUUACUAAUGGCGCACCAUCCACUCACCUCGUUACUAAUGGCGCACCAGCGUCAGGUGCGCCAUUAGUAGUUUUGCAAUAUAUAUAUAUAUAUAUAUAUAUAUAUAUAUAUAUAUAUACUAAUGGCGCACCGUGNNNNNNNNNNNNNNNNNNNNNNNNNNNNNNNNNNNNNNNNNNNNNNNNNNNNNNNNNNNNNNNNNNNNNNNNNNNNNNNNNNNNNNNNNNNNNNNNNNNNNNNNNNNNNNNNNNNNNNNNNNNNNNNNNNNNNNNNNNNNNNNNNNNNNNNNNNNNNNNNNNNNNNNNNNNNNNNNNNNNNNNNNNNNNNNNNNNNNNNNNNNNNNNNNNNNNNNNNNNNNNNNNNNNNNNNNNNNNNNNNNNNNNNNNNNNNNNNNNNNNNNNNNNNNNNNNNNNNNNNNNNNNNNNNNNNNNNNNNNNNNNNNNNNNNNNNNNNNNNNNNNNNNNNNNNNNNNNNNNNNNNNNNNNNNNNNNNNNNNNNNNNNNNNNNNNNNNNNNNNNNNNNNNNNNNNNNNNNNNNNNNNNNNNNNNNNNNNNNNNNNNNNNNNNNNNNNAAUGACGCACUAUGCCACGGUGCGCCAUUAGUAGUUUUGCAAAAAAAGAAUAAAAAAAUACAGUAGUGGCGCACUCUGUGGCUGGUGUGCCAUUACUAGUUAGAACUACUAAUGGCACACUGUGCCUGGAUGCGCCAUUAGUAUGUUUGGAAAAAUGAAGAAAAAAUUUGUUACUAGUGGCGCACCAUGUGUCUGGUGCGCCAUUAGUGUCUUCCACACUAAUGGCGCAUCUGCACAUGGUGCGCCACUACUAUAUAGGAGUGGCGCACCACAUUUCAGGUGCGCCAUUAGUAUCCAUUUCAUCUAUAGACCUUUUCCUAGUAGUGAGAAAAGAAGAGGUUGACUCAGAUCAGAAGGGCAUAAGGUAAAGGACUAAAAAGAGCCUUACGUUCCCUUCCACAAUUAAUUCCCUUAUAUAACUAAAGCAUUUCUAGACUCAACUUCGACCAGUUUGGCUUGGUAAUCCUAUAGGCAGUCAAGCUCUAAUACCAAAGCUGUCAGGACCCCGAUCCUAAGUCACACCGAUCUAGCAUGUAACACUUCAUAUCACUUUGCGGCCUCACGCACGGUAUUCCCACGGGUGCCACCUUACCUGGCCCGGGACCGUUUGCGCCUUUUGGCUCACGUAUAUGAUAGUGUCGCUAGCAUCCAUAUGACAGAGAACCCGGGCCGAUAUGGCUAGUCGUGAACCCAAAGUGGCACUAACUUACGGGGACAGGCAUACAUGAAACAACAUCGAACAUGUCGGUCAUCAACAUGUGAAUCCGGGCUGUAGCAACUGGGCUAACAGGACUCCGGGAACCCAGGCUGUAGCAGGCUAGCAGGACUCCAGAAGUCACCGCGUGACAUUUCCCCGAAGGGACAGACACAGGAACGAAGUGAAUCACAUGCUGGCCAGUCUAAGUGUUCCGGAGCAGUAGUACUAGGCUAGCAGGACUCCGGUAAACCGGGCUGUAGCAGACUGCCAAGGCUCAGUGGAAACACCAGACUACAUUUCCCCAUAAGAGAGGCUACCAAGGAUAAACAACUAGAUUGUCGGAUCCCACACAUACCAAGCAUUUCAAUAACAUACACACAAUAUGCUCGAUAUGUGCAAACACAACAUGGCAUCACAACAAAACUCUAUGACUCAAAGUAUUUAUUCAUUAGGCUCUGAAGAGCCAGAUAUUACAAACAUGGGUCUCAUGACCCAACAUUCAGAGCAUACCAGACAAAGCACAUGUGGAAUCUUAACAUGUCUGAGUACAGACAUCUACAAUGAAAAAGGCUGAGAAGCCUGACUAUCUACCAGAUCCUGUCGAGGGCACAGGAUCGUAGCUGAGGUAACAAGCUAAACGUCGGAGUCCACACGGAACUACUAGCAAGACUGACAUCUCUCUGCAAAAACAUAAAAUAGGCAAACGUGAGUACAAAUGUACCAAGAAAGACUUACAUCAGAACUAACUACAUAUGCAUCGGUAUCAACAAAGGGGGUAGUGGAGUUUAAUUGCAGCAAGCCAGCUUUGACUCAGUGGCUAACCUAAACUAUGACUGCAACUAACUCUUUUGAGGUGGCGCACACGAGUUGACAUAUUCACCAUAUCAAUACACCACCAUGGAUCCGCUCCCGUCUCCCUACGAGAAGGCCAUCCAUAGCACUCACGCUUAUCUUGCGAGUUUUAGAGUAUCCACUUUCACUUGUCUAUGAACUGUAUAGGCAACCAAGUAGUCCUUUACCACGGACGCGGCUAUUCGAAUAGAUGAUGUUAACCCUGCAGGGGUGUACUUCUUCAUACACGCUCUCACCACUUACCGUCGUUUACACGACAUGUACUCGGCAACCUUCAAGCGGAAGCCCAACGAGGGUGUCGGCCACAGCCUACCUAAACACUCAAGUCUCUAGUCCAGGUUUAUCGCCUAUCCAGGUUCCAUCCGCAGGGAGUCUGACAGAGGUUUCCACAUGUGGCCCUGAACGAUGUGUACAAGGUUCCCGAGACACCAAACGGGCGUCUUGGUACACCGUGCCACGCUGUAUCUACCACAUCAUAGCCCACCCCUAGGGUCAGCGCUACGCACGGCCACCAACACAUAACCUAUAAACACCAGAAACUAGUUGCAACUCCUGGACAGAGAGCUAGGGUGGUUAAGAAGCCGAGAGGGUCCAUUGGUUUCGGGCCCAAUGCAUGGUAGUAGAUGGUUCUUGAAUCACACAUACAGAUCUUGGUGCUUAAGGACGGUUCCAAUGAAACAGCCCACCGUGUACUCCUACAUGGCCUCUCAUCGAUACCUUUACCAAAUCAUGUUCAACACACUUAACUCACACACAGUAGGACAUGUUCACAACUUUCCAAUUCAUCCCUGAUAAUUAGACUUGACACAACUCUAAGCAAUAGCAGGCAUGAAAAACAAGCAUGAAUGAGUAGGCACAUCAGGGCUCAAACAACUCCUACUCAUGCUAGUGGGUUUCAUCUAUUUACUGUGGCAAUGACAGGUCAUGCAGAAGAAAGGGGUUCAACUACCGCAGCAUGUAACAGUUGAAUCAUUGUUGUCCUAAUGCAAUAAAAGAGAGCAAGAGCGAGAGAGUGGGAUUGUAUUAGAAUGAACAAGAUGGUUUUGCUUGCCUGGCACUUCUGAAGAUAAUAUAGUUCUUCAUCGGUGUCAUCGAACUCAUCUCCGGAACCACCUUUACUAAGAUGGGACAAUACCGGCAAACAAGGAAGAAACACAAUCAAUGCAAUGCAACAAUAUGAUGCAUGCUCAUGACAUGGCAAUAUGAUGUUGAUUGAACUAAUGCAACUAGCAACAUAUUAAAUGAAGUUGGUUUGAACCAAAGGUUCAAAUUCAAACUCCAUAUGUGCUUUCUUAAAUACCAUUUAAUUGAAUUGUCCUAAGCAGAGGACAUAAGUUUCCCUAACAUGCAUGUAAAUGCCAUAAGCAGAUUCCUUGGAUUUUUCUGAUCAUUUUUCAUAUAUAAAUUGUUUGAUUUGGAGCUACGGUUGAUUUUCUAUGAUUUUUAGAAGUUUUGGAUAUUUUCUGGAAUUUCCUGGAUAAAAAUAAAUCCAGAAAACACUUAUUGCGUCAUCAUUGCAUCACUGUGACGUCAACAGUCAACAGGGCCGGUCCAGGUCAAACCUGAUGAGUAGGGCCCGCUGGUUAGUGACUCAGUUAAUUAACCGAGUUAAUUAGCGCUAACCUAACACUAACUAAAAUGUCAGCAGGGCUGGGCCCACAUGCCAGCGAGUCAGUGGGUUAACUAAGUUAAUUAACACUAAUUAAACUAACACUAAUUAAACAGGGGCCUGAGCCCACACGUCAGGACCCAGGGGAGGUCAAACCGGGGUCAACCCUGCCAGUCAAAGCGGUUAACCCGCCGGCGUUUAGUCACCAGCGAGGGCCGAGACGGCGGCGCGGCUCGGAAAAGCACUACAGGGCCUCGUUCGAAGUGUGUCUGGGUGCGUUGGAAAGCUCUUGCUCCCGCGUGUCGAAUGGUGCAGGUGCUGGGUCGUGGGGGGGCCGGAGUGGAGCCCGCGGUGGUUGCCGGACCUCGGGUUCGAGAGGCGCAGCACUAUGGUGCACGAGAAGACGAGCUGGUGGCGGCUUUAGCUUGCUGCGGAGCUGCGGAGCACGUAGUCAUGCUCGGAAACGAGCUUUGCUAGCUCUUAUUACGGCGGUGACAAGAACGGCGGCGGCCAGCUCUCGGCUCCGGUGGAAACGGCGGGUACACGGCGCAACAGAGCACAGGGAGAGAGGGGAGCGGCAAAGGAGCUCACAGUGAGUUAAACAGGAGUGUCAGAGAGCUCGGGGAGGCACCGGAGGCAGCAAAUCAACGGCGAUGAUCUUCGGUGGCCGACGAGGGGAACGGCGGUGCUUGCGGUGUCCAGGGGCUUUAGUCAUCGGCCGGCUCGGUGAGGAGGAAGAGAGGGACGAGGCAGAGCUUGUGGGUAGCUCCAGGGUGUCGUUGGAACGACAGUGGCCGCGGUAGUGACGAGCGGCGGCGAUGAAGCCAUUCGGGGGGUGAGAGAGAGAGGUCCAGGGGAGGGGAUGAGCAUGGGGGAGAGUGGGAGAGGGUCGAGGGGAGUGCGUGGCAUCGCCUAGACGCAUCUAGUAUGAAGCAGGCAGGGAGGAGGUGGCUCGCGCGCGGCGACCACGCGCCCUUCAUCCUCCUGGCAAGAGGAGGAAGACGACAGGGGAGGUGGGGAUGGGCUGGGGUGGUUUCAGCAGUAGGCCGCACAGGUAGGAGCCAGGUAGAUUCUCUCUCUCUCUCUCUAGUUUUUCUAUUUAUUAAUGUUUUCUAUUUUCUGCAAUUGGUUUUGAUUUGAUUUAAAAUGUCAAAUCAUUUUUUGAACUUUCUGUAAAUUGUUAUGUGAGCUCAGAAACUAGUCCAAGGUCACAAGCAACUUACAAAAAUAAUUGAACUUUAUUUCUUAUAUAGUAGAAAUAAAUUCAACUCAAAUAUGUCAUUGAUUUAAGUCAAAGGCCCAAAAUAAAUAUUCCUGUGAUUCCAAAAAUAUUGGUUUGAAUUUUACCUCUUACCAAUAUUUUCUCAGAGUAACAGGAACAUUUCCUUGGACUCAUUUGAUGAGAAUUAAAUGUUGAUUAUUUUUGAACUGAUUCUGAGGGUUUCAACAUACCUCAAUUCAACUUUCAGAAAUUUUAGACUUGAUGCAACACAAGACUAGCUAGCUUAGAGCAUGCCAGAACUAGGGAUGUGACAUAGUGUAUGUUAGUCUUCAUUGUGGCUAGUCAUACACCUAGACGGAGGGAGUAGUCUCAAGUCAUUGGAUGCGUACGCACCCCACAUCUCGUAUUUGUAUUGGGUGAUUUGUUUUUUCCUGGCAAGAAACAGGGAACGAGGUGGGUAAUUAAUGCACCACGCCUAAAAGUUUUGGGAUUACUAUUUGGUUUUCGAAACGUGACUAAUGCACCAGUACGGAGGGAGUACAAUAGUAGUCUUUGAUUGUAAUUUUUUGUUGGCAGCUUACAAAGCUGAGUACUCGGUGAGUACAAUAGUAGUCUGAUUGAUGAGACUUCAUAUUUGAGCCAUCUACCGGAAGGAAUAAAACAAUACACCAUGUAUUUAUUUAUAGAGGGAGUAGUACAUUUUUUGUGACAUGCAUUACUAGAUAUUGCUAGUCAAAUACUAAAUCCAGAUGGACGUGGUAGUACUACUAAAUCCAGAUGGUGGUGCUAGUACUAGUAGUAGUACUACCAAUGUAGUAGCACUGUACUACCCGUUUGUCAAAUUAUUAUGUGUUGCUCGUCGCAGUAAAGUGACAAGACCCUGCGCCGGAGAUGACACAUGAGUAUAGGCGCCGUGUUCGGCAUAACGCAUAAGUCAGCCUCAUCGUCUGCAGUCACUAUCAUCAUGGCUAUAGAGCUAGCCUGCUUACAACUAGCUGUGUUCGACAUAAUUUCCCAUGCGUAUAACACCAAGAUUGGGGGUGGACGGCGCCGGCAGCGGCCAUCGCGCCAGAUUUUCCAUGGGCUUCUAGAUGUGGUGGGAGGAGAUAAGGCUGAUUAUGAGAGACAAGGAGUUGUUUGUAAAUAGGGAACAAGUGCGGGCAUCUUUUUGCAAAACUGGAGAAGAUUGGUUUGUAUGCGUCAGAUCUAGAUCUGACGGCUAUUGGUGAAAGAUGGCAGGCACAACAUCAUCACUAACUCAGCACCUCUUUGAUUCGCAAGAUUUUGAAAACACGGGAAUAGGACACGGCAAUAUUACAAGUUUCAAACUGAUAUUACAAAUGUUAGGAGUAAUGCUGCACCUACGAAGAGGGAAUCUAGGAAGUUUACGUAAGAACUUUCGUUACUUUAGGUGGAUGCAGCAUUAUCGUACAAACUAAAAUCCACUGCCCUGACAAGUCACUAAUGGGCAAAUAAAUUUUUGAGUCUCUGGCCACUUGAUGUUCCAAAAACAAAUUCAGCUUCUGUGGAGACUUUGUCAUUUAGGCUUAGACGCUUGUGGUGAUCGGCACGCCAUUCAUUGUUGCGCCAGAGAAUGCCAAACCUCAUUACCUUGAGCACACUUGCCUCCAGAACAAAGAACCUGGCCAAUUUAAUCUCAGAUGUGCUGCCUCGGUAGUCGAUCAAAUCAAUUUCUGUAAGAUGGAGAUCAAGGCAUUCGAUGAGAUUGUUAUAGUGCAGCACAUUUUUCACUUUCGGGUCUUUUUUUAUCUGCAAAAGAAGAGAACAUGUUAGAGCAGCUGGCUGUAUAAGAUUGUCGUGUCAUCAAGAGGUACCAAUAUCAUUCGCUCAUAUGAUAGGGUUGGCUGGCUAGUGAUAUUUUCUCUCUCUCUCUCUCUCUCUCUCCUCUCAUUUACCUAGGAGCACGUGAAGAGCUUGGGCAUUUGUUGCCUUCCACUAUGUGGCCGAUGCCAUAUUUCUCAAAAGUAUGCCACAUAAUAUACAUCAAUGUCAAAUCAAAAGAUUUUGGCACCACUCUCGCGAUGUGAGAGAGUUGGCACCGCUGUGCACACAGACCCACAUGUAUAAACAAAUCAAUCAAACCAACUACACUAGCUUCUCACUCUCCCAAACAAGUGUUUUUAUUGCCUCAGUCCUCUCUCUCUCCCAUGCAAGUGUUUUUUCAUUGCGUGAGUUAAUUUGGCAGCGGAGCAUAGUAGGUGAUCCAGAUUGGGGCACCAGGUGAGCAAUGGAGGGCAUCGAUGCCAAAUGCAUCACAAGUGAAUUUGGCACGUGUUUUGGCCUACAUGGUGGAGGGUCGUUAUAUCCCACUUUUGUACUACCUCGUAUUUAGUAUAAAAUUUUGACCAUAGAUUUACCUAAGAUGCCAAGAUGGCGGAUUCAGGCAUAUUGUUGUUCUACUUUGUAAGGUCCUCGAGAAUAAUCAAUAAAAUGGCUGCAUGCAUCUCCUAGAUGCAGAAGCCGGGGGUCAUCCUCCUUUUCUAAAAAAUAGAUUUACCUAAGAAAAUGCCAAUGCAUGUCACCAAAAAUUAUACCAUUUGAAAUUAUGUUCAAAUACGAAUCAAACGAUAUAAUUUUUAAUGGCAUGCAUUAACAUUUUGUCAGUUAAAUCUAUGGUCAAAUUUUGAUAAUACAAAAUAGGAAGACUAAACCAGGAUGGAGGUAGUACUUGCUCUUAGGGUAACCAUAGAGUUACUAGUCUAAGUUACUUUCCACUAUGACUAGGCUAGGCUACUCUAGUAGUACAACAAAAAAAUGAUGCAGGUGAUCAUGUGAGAAAAAAUACUAAAAACAUUUCUUUCGGUGCAGUGCAUAGAUGCAGUUUUGAACACUACACUUGUCAUCGUAAUUUGGGAAAAUUACGAAAAAAUUGAGCUAUGUUGUGAUUACCAUUUACUAAUAGGAAAGAAGUUUCACCUUGAUGAGUAGCUUCUCCAUGCAUGGAAAGCAUGUAAGGAAUCCAACAACUUGAUCCAGAUUGGGGCCGAUAGAUUUUAUUGCCAAGAUCUUCACUAUGCGCAUAGACUGGAUGAAGCUUGUGGGAAUCAUUUUCCGGAAGACGGUCGUAAAUACAUCAAGAAGAAAUUUAUAAAUGUGAAUUUCAAGAAGACGGAGAAUAAGAUGAGUGUUGUACCUGAACGAUUACGGAUCCAAUAAAGAGUUCAGAGAAUUUGGCAGACGAGUACACCAACGCUGUCAAUUUUGGCACGUCAAUGACCCUGAUUUUUGUUGGACCUUCUAGAUCAGAUACAAGCAAUCUCUCAAGGAAAGGCGCAUUCUCAAUGACCAUAACAUGGAACAGUUGGAGUGAUCUCUUCCCAAUUGAUGUCUUGUUGCGGGGCCAGCAAGACGCAUAAAUCCAUCGGAGAUUCGUCAAGGCGAUGUGGAGGCUAAUGAACCCGUGGAUCUGCUCAAGAUGAAGGUACUCGAGCGCAGUACAGCUACGGAGCAGGUGCUCCAUAGCCUGCUUUGAGAUGCCAAUGUCGAAGAGGUCGAGCUGCUUGAGUUGAGGGAGAAGAAGGGUGGGCGCGGCAUUAAUCUGGGGAAGAUAUCAGGAGCUGAAGCUAGUGCAACGCAGUGUUGGCGUGAGGUGGGGCACGGACGGCGGCAGAGAGCGACAUCGUCCGGCUUCAAAGUUGAGCUCCUCGAGCUCAUCUAGGGUAGGGCAUAGGACACUCGUAGAACUUGGCUUGGACCUUGCAGUUGGUACUGAACAUGCGGAUGUCAAAGCGUCUGGCUGGACCAGGGUGCGAUGAAAGGAUCUUGGAGACUACGGCCAUGCGUUUGCAAUCCUCAUCGUAGAGGCAGCUGUCGACAGUGAGGUUGAGGAGGGCAUGUCACCAGAGGGGGCGCCACCGUCCGGAGAGCAGGGCAGUCCGCACGGCAGAUUUGGUGGGGAGGAGGCCGAUGAUGACGAGCAGCAUGUCGUCGGGGAGGAGGCUCGCCGGAUGCGGUUUUGGCUUGAGCCGCCUCCGCUUGUUGGCUGCCUCACCGUCCAUCUCAACCGGCGGCGACGCCAGUGUACACGUGUGCUGGUGUGUGUUGUGUGCUGGCCUGCUGGGUGUACGCGAGUGUGUCCUUCUAUCCAUGCCGCCGUGCAGUGGUGAAUUGUGCGCGAGUGCGUCCUUCACGCGGAAGAAGUGUGUCCUCAUGUGCCCUCAAUUUACUAGCAUGCGGGGUGCUACCCCGAGUGGUUUCAACUUUGUUUACUUCACCGCGUGUCAGAUGGGCCUCUAGUUUACUUAUUUUCACCCACUGCCACAUGGGCGAGCACACGAGGAUAGAGAACACAAGCUGACAAGGAAGCAUGUGGACUGGUUGACCGGUCAACUAAACAAUAUACGGAGCUAUACGCUGACACAAUGAGCAUAUAAUCCGUCAGUAUAGAGAGUUCGAGUGAGAGGGGAGGCCCAUGAGAGAUAGCAGAGAGAGAGAAAGAGCUACUCCCUCCGUUCGAUAAUGUAGUGCCAACAUUUUUUAAUUCAAACUUUUGAAACUUCGACCAAGUUUAUAAGGAAAUUACUUAUAUCUAUAAUACCAAAGAUAAAUGAUAGUAUGAAGUAAGUACAUGUUGUGAUGAAUCUAAUGAUCGUUCCAGAUGUAAAUGUUUUUCUCCACAUAUAGCUGGUCAAACUUUUAUGAGGUUUGACUUUUCAAAACAUCCAUAUGCUUAUGGACGUGAGAGAGUCCCUAACUAGAGAGAGAGAGAGAGUUAGGGAAAAAAGUGUGUGUGCGUGUGUGAAAGAGACAUGGACAACACACGAUAAAAGUAGAGAACAGGUGUGUGUGUCUUAUGCAAACAUAUCACACAUGCAUCUUCGACAACAGAAGCAAGGUGAGGAGAUAGUAUGUGGUUGUGUGCAACCGAGAGAGAAAGACCCCUAGCACGUGGCCAAGAGGGGUCUGACAAACAAGGGAGAGAGGUCGAGAGAGACGUAUGGAGAAAAUGCAGACAUGGGGAGGAGAGAGUGUGUGUUUGUCAUCAUAGAGAGAUCCCCUGGAGAUCAUGAUGGGACUACAUGGGUGGGGAGGUCGAGUGACAAGGUGUGUGCGCAAUAGAAGAUACCCCGAGAGAUAUCGAGAUAGACGUAUGGAUGGAAGGAGACAAUACGUGUGUUCCAGAUGGCUAGUGAGAGAUAAUCAUACUUAGGGGGGAGUGCAUGCGCCUAUGAUGGAGUGAGGGAUUAUGGUACUUAGGGGAUGCGUGUCACAUAGAGAGAGAACGAGGGAGGAGAGUGUUGGAUGGGUCUAUAUGUAGCGCGAGCGAGACAUGUGUAUGUGUGAACCAGGGAGAUAUAAAGUUUGAGAGAGAUAGAGGAGCCCCAAUAAGGCUGAGUGGUGCGUCAGAUAGCUAAAAGGGGGAAAGAGAUAUUCCAUCCGCUCGAUAAUGCAGUGCAUGUAAAUUUUUUAAAAGUCGAACUUUGGAAACUUUGAUCAGGUUCACGCAAAUGUUAUUUAUAUCUACAAUACCAAAGAUACAUCAUACGAAACUACAUCUCAUGAUGAAUCUAAUGGUAUAUGUUUGUCGUUCUAGAUGUCAAUGUUUUUUCUCCACGUACAUGGUCCAACUUUGUGAUGUUUGACUUUUCAAUAAAUCUAUAUGCUAUGGACUGAAGAGAGUGCCUAAGUCGAGAGAGAUCAAGUGCGUGUGUAGGAGAAUGAGUGAGUGUGCAAAAAGAGUAUGUGUGUGAAAGAGAAAGGGACAACAAACGAUAAAUUAGAGUCUGUGUGUGUGUUUUCGUUUCUUAUGCAAACAUAUCAUGCAUGCAUCUCCGAGAUAGAAAAGCGAGGUGAGGAGAUACACGAAGAUAUCUAGUGCGUGAUUGUUUGCAACAGAGAGAAACACCCCUAUAGCACAUGUCCAAUAGAGGUCAGGCCAACAAGGAACAAAGGUCGAGAGGGACACAUGGAGAACAUGGACGCAUGGGGAGGGAGAGAGGGUGUGUUUGUGAUAGAGAGAUCCCCUGAAAAUCGUGAGGGAACUAUAUGGGUGGGAGAUCUAGGGAGGUGCGUGCGCGAUAGAAAGAUGCCCCGAGAGAAAUCGAGAUAGACCAUGCACAUGUUUGUGAUGGAGACUAUGAUUUUCUAGUCAUACACAUAUAGGGGGGACUGCGUGUGCCUACAUUUGAGUGAGAGACCAUCAUACUUGGCUAGGCAUGAGAUUGUGUGUGUGUGCGUGUGAUAUGGAGAGAGAAAACGAGGGAGAGAGAUAGAGUUUUAGCUGGGUCUAUCGAGUGCGAGUGAGAUAUGCAUGUGUAUGUGUGACCCAGGUAGAUGGAGAGUUUGAGAGAGAGAGAGAGGGAAGAGCUCCGAGACGACAGAAUGGUGCGUGAGAGGGUUACGGGCAACGAUCCAAGGAAUUUGUGUGCGUACGAUGAGUGCACCCAAGAUAUUUAGCUUGGACUAGAGAAUCAUACAUGGUGUGCGAGGGAGACCUAUAGAUGGAGUAUAUAUGCAUGCGAACUAGAAAGACCCCCCCCCCCACACACACACACACAAAGAGAGAGAGAGACGGAGAGAGAGGGAUAUGGACCAAAAAGGUUUGUGUGUUGGAUGCGUGCAGCAGAAUUGAAGAUUGUUGGCGAGAGAGAGAGAUAGAGAGAGCAAGAGUCCGGAAGAGGGGGAGGUCGGUUUUAUGCAUCAAAGACUGAUAUAAACCAUGUUUCGAUAUAUACUUGCAUUCGAAUAUCUAAAUUGGAGAACAUGUUGUCUACAAUCCACACAUGAACGGAGAUAUGCGUAUAUCAAACAAGUUCAUUAAUUUGACUUUCAACAUGUUCAUGGAGUACUAUAAUACUGUACAACAUGCUACUCGAUUGAGGUGUUCAAUUUUGGAUUUAGUUCACUAUUUUGACUUGGUGAACGAGCUAUUUCAUUGAAUCGAGAUAUUUCAUUUUGGGUUUGAUUCCCGUUUAUGAGUGGGUCAACUAUUUGUCAUAUAGUAAAUCACUAGCAAUGAGCAUGUAAAAACACAUUACACCCGAGCAUCAUCUCUCCAUCUAAAAAAGAAGUGGCAAGCUAAUAUUUCAAAAUUUGAUUCGAAUCGACUUGGUAAGGUAGACGUGGAUGCUCGUUCUCCCAAAAUUUGAAUGAACCGUUAAACACACUCUACUUGGUUGAAUUCGCCCGAGCAAAUAAAUGGGAGACGUGAAAUUACCAGCUUAUGUGGGACACGCAUCAAUCGGCCCGUUGUACAUCGAGGGUAGGUUUGUAACUUCAUCCAAGUGUGCCUUCUCCUCGGCCGAAAUAACAUGUGCCGAAUAAUUCAUAAACCAUGGUUGGCAAAACGCCCUCUCCUCGCCCGAAAUAGCUCGCGCCCACUAUUUCAAAACACGCUCUCCUCGCCAAAAAUUGCUCGCGCCCACUAUAUUUGAAAACACGCCCUCCUCGCCCGAAAUCGCUCGCGCCCACUAUUUGGGAGAAGUAAUGUUACUCUACUAUCCCCGACCCUCAGUACACAGACCCAAGCAGGGAAGCCUAAAGGCAGGGGUAGAACUGUAACUCCCCCCCCCACACACACACAUUUCAGACAAAUGCGUCCGUAAGACAUGGUUCCCCCUCCCAAUUCCCCAUUCAUACCUCGUGGGAGCCAAAUCACCUUCUCCCCGAAAGCUCCCUUCUCCCGAGCCGCGAAACCUUAGCCCCACCUCCAUAGCGCCUCCGACCGCACCAAAUUCACAGCCGCCCUCCUCUCUAAUCCCGGAGACGCUGCCCAUUUGCCGUCGUGCACUGGGCCAUGUGCCUCUUACUCCGUGCUGCCAGAGCUACCUCGAUAACGGCCGCGUGAACCGUACCGGAGCUGAUUCACCCCCGCCGUUGUUCACACCGCCGGAGUGGCUCCAACUUUGGACCCGUCCAAAGCCUCGGUGCUGCUUCCACGUAGCCGUCGACCAUCGCGACAUCUCUGCUUUCCUGCCGCCGGUAGCUACCGCAACCGCGCCGGUCUUACCGACUAGGCAGCUAGAGCUGCCUACUUCAUCGGGCCGCCAAAUAGGUCACACCCUCAUCUCAAAUCACUUUAUUUAGGCGUCAGUUGUCUGAAUUUUUAUUCUGGGCCAAUCGAUUCCCAAUGGGAAGCAGCACCCCUCGAGCCGGCGGAGCUCCUAGGCUGCCGGUUGGCUGGUGUCUAAUGUAAGGGUGCGAGGGUGCAAGUUCGCCGCGGAAGCAGCGCUUAGAUGGCUAUCUUAGAGUUGUGUGGGUUGAAGGUACUGCCGCCGCCGGAUCUGGAUGACAGCGAGUCUUUGUGGAUUGGCCUAGGGGCGGCGCAACCACGGCAGUGCGGUGGAGCGGGGAGCGAGGUUUUGGUCGGGGCCACGGACGGCGGAGGCAGGCUGCUCUACCGGUGGUCGCUGGUUCUUCGGGGAAGAUUCCGAACAGUAUCAGCCGGGAGGCACAAGACGGCCAUCAAGCCAUCCAGCGUAGAUCGAACAGUACCAAAAUAAGAUAAAAUCGUGUGACCCCAAUUUAGUCUUCAGUCAACAGACAUGUGACCACUCUCGUACCUUGCUGUUGAUCUCUUAGGGUAUUUCUUCAUAUCAGAGAGAUGUGUCGUUCUUAACAUUAUGCGUUCUGCAUCUUCAGCCACAUCGUCUUCCGGCUCAGCGCAGCUGCUCCAACAAGGGAAGCAUACACCAGAAGGGAGCGAUAGUCCCCGCUCAACAGUUCCCUGCAUCGAAUGCGCGUGCCCGACAUGGACAGCCACAACAACUACAGGUCCAUCGACAAGUCAGCACAUGAUGCUCACUCCUAUGGAUGGCGGCCAGAUAGGUUGUACCCUCAUCUUACUUGUGUGCAACAUUUAUGGCUUUGUUAUUCAUCUAAGCAUGGAAAAUAGAUUAUCACAUUUCACUGUAUAUUCAUGUUGAUCUCUUACGGGUCUUGUUUAGGAGUUAACGUUAUUCCAUAGUUCAACUAAGAGACUUGUUCUUUAGGUAACGCUAUUCCAUAGUUAUCAUCCAUCAGCCAAUGCUAUCCCACAGGCUGUUGAUUAUAGUAUUAUACCACUUCUAGUAUAACCUAUGUCGUUCCUUAAUACUUUUGUGUGCCAUCUAGUUAAUAUUGAGUACAAAUGAACAUAUUCUGUAUCUUUCAUCUGUGUUCUCUCUUUAAUUUUUGAGACCUAUUGCUGCUAGUUAACCCCAGUCCUACUAUUUAUGUCGUCUCCUACAGACACUCAUUACAUAAAUAUAACUACUAGUUUUCUUCCAUGCAUGUCAGAUAUAAUUGCACACACUGAUUUAUCCACAAGAACCUCACGGAGCAAUGUAACGGCCAACAAACUUGACUUCAAUGAUACCCAAUAUGAUGGAACAUGUAAAGGCAGUUCUUCACAAGACUUGCAGAAAGAUGAUGAAUCCUAUUCACCCCAUAAGGUCCUUGCUAUAAUUUGGCCCUUGAUAUGGGUACAACAUGCAUGUAAUGUCCUGGAGUGCAUCUACUCUGUUGCAAUGCCUUGUGCUUAGCCUGCUGAUCAUGAAUGUAAAUAUGGCAUGCCUUCCUGUUUUUCAGUACCUAUUCCAUUCAUGAUAACAUGUUUUCAAAUUCAAGUAUUGUCAUUCUACUCUAUCGCGAUGCCAUAUGCUUAGUUUGGACAUCAUGCUUCUCAAUAUCUUAUGCAUUGUUAGUCAUCAGUAUGUACUUCAUCUGUCUACCAUACCAUGUUUUUUUACAUUGAAGUGUUGUUCUAGUGGUCUAUUGCAAUGCCAUCUUAGUUUCCCAAUCAUACACGCAUAUGUUGCCUUAGUGUUUUUUGUAUGUAUUCCGCUAGCAUACAGUUUUGCAUUCAAGUAGUUUUUUUACACCGUUGUCCUGUCGUAUCCCUAGCUCUUACAUCAUACUCCCUCCGUCCGGAUUACAUGUCGCAGAAAUGGAUAAAACUGGAUGUAUCUAGAACUGAAAUACGCCUAGACUCAUCCAUUUAUUUCCGGAUGGAGGGAAUACAUGUCAAUAUGUCAUGCCUUUCUAUUCUUUAGUACCUAUUCCAUCUCUGUUGUAGCAUGUUUUAUAAUUGAAGCACCAUUCGUCUAUAUAAGGCAUGCAAGGGGAAGACGUCUAUGUUAGAAUCUGAAGGGUUACAAACCAGAUCUUUGCAAAAGAUCCAAACGCCAGGAGAUAAUAAAUCAACUCCAGUUUUCAUAGAUACUGCUCCAGCACAGAGAAACCCAACUCCCACUGAUAAUUCCAGUGGCCAAAGAACUAGUCCGCUCCAGUCCAGCAAAAAUAUGUCAACUCCAUUCUAAGAAGCGUGUGCGUAUCCUCGCAUCAUGAAAUUCUAUAGCAUUAUGAUCAUAUUUUCUACAUGUUUCUUACACAUCUCUCUCUUAGAAAAUAAGAUUAAACGAUAGAAGACUUUCUCCAUUGGGAUCGUAUUCAAGGAAAAUAUCUUGCGGGAAUUCUCUGUGCUCCAAUGCUGAUGUAAGUACCUGUUGUAUAUCACUAUAUUUUUACAUCAGUGUGUAUUUUGUUAAUCUGCAUGGAUCCAACCUUUAUCUGAUCUAAAAUUAGUUUUAGCAAAAUGUUAAAGGUGUCAAUGUUGAUUUUUGUAAGGAAUACUGCCUGGUAGUUUUGCAUACUGAGCCGCAUGAGUGUACUAUCUCAUAUCAUGCACAUUACUGAAUUGUAGUGCUGCUCUGGUUGCCCAUUCAUUCAUUUUGUCAAUGUUACUUUCGUAUUACCUUACCUGGCUGAUGAUAGUUGUGCCAUAUUGUGUUAAUAUGGUGUAGGCUAGUUGACCAAACAUUCGUUGUGUCAAUGUUGCUUUCCUAUUAUCUGACCUGGCCAAUGAUAGCAAUGCUAGUCUGUUAAUUUGGUGCAGGCUGCUGAAGAUAAGAAGACAAACUCUGAAAAUGGCAAGGCAACCCCAUUGUUUCUUUCCAAUAAAUCUAGGCCAGGUAAUAUGGCAAUAACUCAUGAUUAAUCUGUUCGGUUCCCCUCCUAAUUUAUGUUAUGAUGUUGUGGUCGAGACACUCUCCACUAUCAAUAAUACAAGCCUGCCAAAAUCGCCAUCUAAAUCUGUUCAGUUUCCUCUGUCUCGAAUGCAAUGGAAAAAAUGUAUGUUUGUGAACCAAUUAAUGGCUGAAGCAAUGAUGGAAAUGGUUGAGGAAUCAGAGGUGCACAUUCGUGCGCAACAACAACUGAUCAAUGUUUUCAGAGACAGUGUAGCAAAGCAGCAAGAACUUGCCCACAUGCUUAUGGGCGUCAUCCGCGCUGAGGUUACAGAUUGUGACGUUGUAGAUCGUUAGGUUCUAUUCAUUUAUUUGCACUAGCAUCAAUUUUUGAUUGCCCAAUGGAUGUAAUUUCCUGUAAUAUAUGCUGGAUGUGCAGCGUUUUCCCUGUAUGUCGUACGUUUGCUUGAUCGGUUUUGGUCAUGUGCAUAAUUGCUCGUCGUAAUGGGCUCAAAUUAUCUAAUUGGGCCUAAAGACAUGUGCGAACUUUAGUGGGCCCAUUAAGAUAAUGGGCCGUUACCAGGCCGAAAGUUAAUGGUCGGCCCUCUUACCUCUCGGGUCGUUAACAGGUCGACAUCGAAGCGGGUGACAGGUGGGCCCAUUUGAUUUCACGGGCCGUUAACAGGACGUUACUAAGGUCGGACUACAUAUGGCCCAACUAUACUGUGGGCCUUUAGCAGGCCGAAAGAGAUAGCAGGCUCGUACUGGACCAUGAAGAGCAUGGGCCGCUAAGAGGCCCAAAGUCAGGUCGUACAGUAAAUGGCCCAUUGUGUUGUGGGCCUUUAGCAAGCCGAAAGAGAAACUGGAUUGGUAUUGGACCAUGAAGAGCAUGGGCCGUUAAAAGGCCAAAACUCAGGUCCGACUACAAAUGGCCCAACUCAUUUAUGCGCCGUCAAUAGGUUUAAAGACACACCGGGAUGGGAAUUGGCCCAACACUUAAAUGGGUCGCUAAAAGGCCAAAACUAAGAUCCGACUACAAAUGGCCCAACUCAUUUAUGGGCCAUCAACAGACUGAAAGACACACCGGGCCAGAAAUUGGCCCAACACUUAAACGAGUCGCUAAAAGGCCGAAAGAUGUACAUCCUAAAAAUUCGCCCAUCCCUUGAAUGGGUCGUUAACAGGCCGAAAUCACAUCCGACCAAUAUUGAGCCCAAAUAUAUAGCGGGCUGUUAACGGGCUCGAACUGAUGAUGGGCUGCAAUGGUGUCAAAUCUUUAACGGGCCGAAUUGGCACAUCUCGUAUGGGUCAUGGGCUUAAAUGGACUAGACACAAGUAGGCCUUAUAUGGUGUAACACCCCGGACACACCCGCCGGUGGUCAUUACUCCUGGCGGGAUCUAGACUGGCCCCACAGAUCAAUACUAGUCUUUUAUGGCCUUAUAUGGUGUAACGCCCCGGACACACCCGCCGGUGGUCAUUACUCCUGGCGGGAUCUAGACUGGCCCCACAGAUCAAUACUAGUCUUUUAUGCGCACUUUGUCCUCACUCAUGCGCACCCGGGAGCAACUUCCCGGUCGGUCACCCAUCCUGACACUACUCCAAGCUGAGCACGCUUAACUUUGGAGUUCUGUCCGAAUGGGCUACCGGAAAAGAAGGAAUUCCUUAUUGACAUGAGUAGUCUAUCAUCCCUAAUAAGCCAGGCCAUCACAUACACCCCCACUCAGAGGAACCGACGUCCUCGUCGGGCCACAGGAACGUUCCCUCUUGGCACAUACGUCUGUGCUUCCAGUCCAGUACAUGUGCCAUGCCGUGUGCCACGAUGGGUCACAACCGUCAUGAACAACAUGACCACGCACCUGUCCGCAACCAUCCGUGUAACCACGAGGGUCGGCUCUGAUACCAACUUGUAACACCCUCGAUGCGGCUAUAUCUCCCACGUGUCGAAGCACGACUUAGAGGCAUAACCGCAUUGAAAGCACUGUCGCAAGUGAGGUAAUCUUCACACAACCCAUGUAAUACAUAAGGGAAAGAUACAUAGUUGGCUUACAAUCGCCACUUCACACAAAUACAUGAAUAAAGCAUUACAACAACCAAAUACAAUCAAGGUCCGACUACGGAACCAAAAUAAAAGAAGAACCCCAAAUGCGACAAAGGUCCCCGAUCGGCCCCAACUGGGCUCCACUACUGAUCAACUAGAACGAAACAACACAAAGGGCAAGAUCUUCAUCGAGCUCCUCCUUGAGCUUGGUUGCGUCAUCUGCACGGACUCAGCAGCACCUGCAAACUGGUUUUGGAAGUAUCUGUGAGCCACGGGGACUCAGCAAUCUCGCACCCUCGUGAUCAAGACUAUUUAAGCUUAUGGGUAAGGUAAAGGUAAGAGGUGAAGCUGCAGCAAGCGACUAGAAUAUAUGGUGGCUAAACAUACGCAAAAGAGAGCGAGAAGAGAAGGCAAAGCACGGUCGAUAGAAGUAUGAUCAAGAAGUGAUCCUAAAACAACCUACGUCAAGCAUAACUCCAACACCGUGUUCACUUCCCGGACUCCGCCGGAAAGAGACCAUCAUGGUUACACACGCUGUUGAUUCAUUUUAAUUAAGGUCAAAUUCAGGUUUUCUACAACCGGACGUUAACAAAUUCCCAUCUGCCCAUAACCGCGGGCACGACAUUCGAAAGUUCAAAUCCCUGCAGGGUGUCCCAACUUAGCCCAUGACAAGCUCUCACGGUCAACGAAGGAAUAGACCUCCUCCCGAGACUUUCCGAUCAGACUCGGUAUCCCGGUACAACAAGACAUUUCGACAGGGUAAAACUAAACCAGCAACACCACCCAGAUGUGCCGACAAAUCCCGAUAGGAGCUGCACAUAUCUCGUUCUCAGGGCACACCGGAUGAGCAAGACGUCGGGUAAGCCAGCCGAGAGUUGCCCCUGGUAGCCUCGGACAUCGCUCAGUUGGACCAACACUUAGAGGAGCACUGGCCCGGGGGGUAAAAUAAUGAUGACCCUCAGGAGCGCGACUCCCAAGGGAAAAGAAAAAGGCUAGGUGGCGAAUGGUAAAACCAAUGUUGGGCAUUGCUGGAAGAGCUUUACUUAAGGCGAACUAUCAAGGGGUUCCCAUUAUUACCCAACCGCGUAAGGAACGCAAAAUCCGGGAACAUAACACCGAUAUGACGGAAACUAGGGCGGCAAGAGUGGAACAAAACACUAGUCAUAAGGCCGAGCCUUCCACCCUUUACCAAGUAUAUAGGUGCAUUAAUUAAAUAAGAUAUAUUAUGAUAUCCCAACAAGUAAACAUGUUCCCACAAGGAACAACAUCUCCAUGUUCCAACAAGGAACAAACUUCAAUCUUCACCUGCAACUAACAACGCUAUAAGAGGGGCUGAGCAAAGCGGUAACAUAGCCAAUCAACGGUUUGCUGGGACAAGGUGGGUUAGAGGCUUGGUUCAACAAUAUGGGAGGCAUGACAAGCAAGUGGUAGGUGUCGCAGCAUAGGCAUAGCAAAAGAGCGAGCAUCUAGCAAAGCAAAGAUAGUAGUGAUUUCAAGGGUAUGAUCAUCUUGCCUGAAAUCCUGCAAGGAAGAAGAACGAGUCCAUGAAGAAGAUAAACAGACAUAGUCGAACGGUUCCUCACAAACGCGACGUUAUCGGAACCUCCCCGAAGAAGCAAACACCGGAAAGAAGCACACAACAUAGUAAACAACCACCACAUAAGCAUGGCACGAUGCACAAACAAGUAUGAUGCAUGUCCGGUUUAAAUAUGCAUGGCAUGGCAAAGUGCACAAACAAUUCUACAAAUUAAGUGGAGCUCAAUAUGCAAUGUGAUGCAUAUUGACAAAACACCACAUCAAUUAUUUAGUUCUCUCUCGUUUAUGUACACAACAAUAUUAAAUGUUGGUUAACAUGGCAAGAGGUGGAGCAUCGGAAAACUACCUAUCUAGGCAAGUUUAAAUGAGGCCGGAAACAACGAACAACAAAUUCCGGUAACUCCUCAUAUGCAUAUAUUAGGUUUGGUACUGUUCUGCCCUAAACAUAAUUUUAGAGUUGUUUAAUAUGCAAAGUGAUGCCACCAUGUUAAACUUGGGAAAAUUCUACCCCAUUUACAUAUAAAGUUUAUUAAAUUUGGAGCUAUGGUUAAUUAGUUAUGAAUUAAAUCAUUUUAACAUGGCAUAGGAGCAAAUUUACUCAAACAUCAUUUAAAACAUUUCAAACAUAGAUGAAAGUUGCGUAUUAUGAAACUAGAUGAAAUUCUAAGCAAGUUUCAUAUAUAAUUUAUUUAGAUCCGAUGCACGGUUGUGAAGUUAUUAAAUGCAUGAAACUAGGGGGGUUUUCUAUAAAACCGCAGUCUCGGGAUUAAUUGCUAAAAACGUAGACAAGGAAAAAAACACACUGGGUCGAAUCUGGUUGGCCCGGUAGUGUACAUGAGAGGGAGUGGAGAGGGGCUGCUCACUUUGGGCCUCGUGGGCCGGCUGCAGAGGAGGCCCGCUAGAUUAACGGGUGAGGCUCGGCUGUGGAGAGGCGGGGAGGCAGGCCGAAUUUGGCUGGGCCUUGGACGCGCUGGGCUCGCGGAUGCAAAGCAGUGGCAUCGUGUCAACAGGCGAAGGGGAGCUGGCCCAGGCGACAGCGCGGUCACAGGAGCGGUCGUCGUGCUCGCUCGAUGCAGAACAAGCAAAGCGACGGUGAGCUGGUGAGGCGGGAACGCGGCGAUGGGGAUGGAAGCAAGGGCGCGCCGCGGGCGGCUGGACGAAGCGCCAAGGAGGCAGGGGCUCGUGCCCGUCCUUGCGAAGCAGGACAACGGCGGCAGACUUGGCACGGAGGCGACCACCGGCGGCAAGUGGGUGGCGGGGACGACGAAAUCCGGCGGUGAGACGAUGAGAACCAAGGCGAGGGAGGGGGUCGGGCGCGUCUCGUCCUCCUGCUUGAAGCAGAGGACGCACGGGAAGCAGAGGUCGGCAGCGAGGGGUGCGGGGUCGAGAGGCGGCAACGGUGAGCGUUUGUUGCGGGACUCCAUGGCGUUCCUGUUGCAGAGAGCGAGAGAUGAGAGGGGGAGAAGAGAGAAGCGGGAAAGAAAGGAAAGGGCAGCGCGGGGCUCAUCUGUUGGGUGCCCCGGUGGUGUGGAUGGCCGGACGAAGGCGGGGACGCGGAGUUCUGUUGAAGCGGUCGCCGGCCAGAGGCUGGCGUCUUGCGGGCUCGCCAUGCUCGGGUGCUUGGAUCGAAAGGGGGCUGCGGGAUUGGCCCGAUGGGGAAUUUUGGCGAGAGGAGGUGGGUGGAUCGGGAGUGAUCCCGAUGAUGAUUUGGAAGGUGCCGGCGGGGGAAUGGGACAAGCCCCUAGAAGUUAGGAUUUUGUCCAGAUUAGGUUAAGGGACUAUAUAUAGUAAGUGGAUUUUGGAUAGGGGCAUUUGGUCCCUCCGAUCUUAAUCGGACGGACGGGGAAAAUAGGUUAGGUAGCCCAAAUAAGAAAACGAUGACGUUUUGUAGAUGUUUAGGGAUGAUCCGGACACGACGGUGACGACUGCUCGGGUCGGGUCCGGGACAAUUUUCGGACACGCAUGCGAGGAGGGCUGCGGGCUGACGAGAGAGGUUAGGUUGGACCUGGCGGUAGGUAGUGAGCUGUGUAGACGGUCUCGAGCUGAGAGAAGAGAAGAGAGGGGGGCCUGACGACUGUUUCCGGAGACCGAAAACGUCCGACGAAGAGACCGGCUAUAUUGCCGCUAUAGUUAAUCGUUGGGGCGUCAAACAAACUCCAAAUGCGAUGAAACUUGACAGGCGGUCUAUCUACACUAUAAUAAGACCACACGCCAACUUUCAACCCAUUCCGAUAACAUUUUCUGGCCACUUAUAAAAAACUAUUUCGGACAUGCCGCGGGCGCGUGCAAGUGUGGUUGGGCUCAGAACGGACAACGGGCGGGACGAGGAGGCCGGGACAGAUGCAAGUUUUGAAAACAUGAUGAUGCAAUGCACAUGAUGACAUGAUAAGAUGCAACACGCAAGCAAAAGACCUGACAACGACAGCGAAUAACUCAAAGACACCUGGCACAACGGUCUCGGGGCGCCACAACACUCCACCACUACGAGAGGAUCUCGUCCCGAGAUCUAGAAUGGCACCGGAGGGACAACAGAAAAAUAGAAGAGGUAAAACUAAGUUGCUUCUUUGACAAACAAGUGAAACCACUAACCUUGAAGAGGUUAAGCAAAUACGAGAAAAGAAUACAACAGAGAUGAACAAAAUUGAAAACACACCGAUAGAAAGGAGGAACAAAGAAGAACAAAUUCGUAUAGUGCUCCGGUUGGAAAGAGAUGCAAGACUUGAUAAGAUGAAAAGAACUUGAUCUUGACAAGAACAAAAAGAAAAAGUAGAAGAGAGCCACAUCAAAAUGCCUCCGGAAGAAAAGAGAGAAUGGAAAGGAGUGAACGAAGUAGAAAACAAGAUCUUGGUAGAGCACGCUUACAACAAAGGCUAGAAUGGAGUUGUUGGAAAAUCCAACAACGAAAAGAAUAAGGUUGUAGUGGACUUAUGGAGAACAUCUCAAAACUAAGAGGUGAAAUUCUGCCACUAACGGAAACAAUAGAUUGGAAUGAUAUAAACAAAGAGACGAGACUAUAUUUCACCGGGAGGAUGAAAGAAGAACUUGGAUCCUUUAUAAGCACCAUAGAUAGCAACAAACCUUAGGGAAGGCUUUAGGUGAAAUAUAACCCAAGGUAAAUCGAAUGAAGAGAUUGAUGGAUUUAAUAUAUCUCAUUCUUAACAAUAUGUGAAUCAUGGAACAUGAACUCAAAUUAUCAAGAAUGACAUAAUACCACCUCCAAUGAUACGGAAGAAAGAAUUGCACUCCGGAUAGCAAGAAGAAGAAUGCUUGAGCUCCUUAGCAAAGAAUCUCAAAGAACACUUCAUGAAGAAAUUAAAUUGUUGCUGAAGCAUCAUGUAGAGCCUCCAUGAAGAACUCCGAUACAAAAGGAUAGCGAAAAGAAAGAGAAGUUGGAAACACAAGGUGAAACCUUGUAAUUAUUUAGAUGGAUCUCCGUGUUGAUAUAAUUGAGAGAACUUGGAACUCCGGGAAAAAAAAUAUGUGCACUGGAAACCAAGAAUAAGUAUGAUGAACCACUCCGGAAAACAGGAAUUAAUCACUUGGAUGGAACAAGAAUAAGAAUUAUGUUAUGCGUAUCCUUCAACAAUUUAAUUGCUGACAAGCAACGGAUUUGGCAUACUACUUAUCCUCAUAAAAAGAUUAAGAGAGAUAUAGCGCAAACUUGAGAAGGUCUUCAAGGAACCACCGGUAAAAUUUGAAAAGCACGAAAGCAUAGAUAUGAUACAUGAAGGGAUAUGAUACACGAAGGAAGAAAACUCUUGAACGAACCACCGUAAGAAUUGAAAAAGAACGAAUAAAGCAUAAAGAAACACCGGGAAGAAAUUAUGAAAUGAACGAAGAUACUUGAGAAAAUUUAGAUACAGGAGGACGAAUAGUUCACGAACUGUUUAGAGAAUACUUGACUGAUGCACCGGUAAGAUUUGGAGAACAAUGGCUGAAAGCUGAGAAUGAACAAGUCUUCUGAAAUGAUGAGCUCCGGAUAAUCAAACUGAAAAGACUCCUGAAUAUCUCCUGAUGGGUGAAAAGGAUUCUCACAAUCGAAAAUAAUUAUGAGAGGAUGGCAACAAGCUAGAAUCACGAAUCUUGAAGAGAAUGGAGCAAGAUUAAAGAGAAACUCUUCUUUUGUCUUCAAAAUCCGAGAAUGACGACGAGAAGUACCACCGUGAAUUAUUUAGACACUCCGGAAUGAAGAAUGGAAAGGUUGAGCUAACGAUGAAAAGAAUUUGAUAGAUCUUGGAGAAAACAUUUGACUGAUGAUAAAUCAUUCUUACGUCAAACUUAAAAAGAAAUUUGAGGAUAGCUCCAGGAAAAUAAGAAGAGUCAGGUAAGAUCCUGGGAAAAGACCUGUGGGUUAGGGCCCACUCAAGAGAAACAUCGUUGAAAGAGAUUUAAAGAGAGAGAUUGCUCCGGUUGAAUUAAAUGACUUGAAUAAGAUAGGACCUCGAAAAGAACUUGAAUGGAUCUUGAAUGACAAGACAAGUCUUCUGAGCACUUUAAGGCACCGGAACAAUAGAAUAGCGAGCGGUGAAAGAUUAUGAGGUGCACCGGCAUGAGAAGGUAUUUGAAACGAUGAAAAAGGAUAUGAUCAACACCAAGCUUGAUUUGAAUCCACCGGAGAAGAAAACGAGUGAUGAGAGACGAACUUGAAGCUCCGUUAGAAUCUUCAUGAGAAUCACCGGAUACGAACAUUGAUGGAAAAGAAUGAAGAGACUUCACAAAAGGAUACUUGAUAAAGAAAUAUGAGUCCUUGAAUAAAAAGGGUGGGAGGGUGGAAAAAAAACAAAGGCACCUUGGGACGGAUGAAAUGAGCACCGUUGAGAAGAACUGAUAAAUGAUCUUGUGAAUGUUGAAAUGAUCGGAACCACUUGAAGAGAAACACGCCGGUUGAAAAGGAUUGACAUGACAGUCUCGAUUAUCAUGAAGGAUUAGUAUUCACAUGGGAACAUGAGAACACCAAUUGGGGAAGGUAUGGAAUCAACAUUUGACUUCGAAGCAACUCGAAUACCACAUCUCAAAAACAAAACAAAGGAUUGGCUUGCAAAAUAAGCCGGAACAAACAUAUGAUAGAGAUUUCGUCCGAAGUUUUCGUGGUGGGGCCUACAUGGGCUCGAUCGUAUAGCACCAUCAUGUACAAGGUAGUGCACAUGACAUACGAAGCGUCCCCGGGUCGGCAUAGCCAAGGACUCUUUAAGACACAACGAGACCACUGUAAAACCGACCGUGAAUAGGCGGACCACUAGACGUCGAACCCCAAUUUCAUAUCAUACAUCUGUCGGAAAGAUAUCCUAAGAGCUACUUGAAUUCCCACUUAUGAAACUCCCGAAAUUUUCCCAGUUAUGCAAUCAGGUGUUGGGGAUACAGGGGAAGCAUAAUAUCUCACCCAAAACUAGCAAAUCCUACAUCCAGCUGUAUCCAUCCUUCAACACAUAACCAAGAAACCUUCGGAAAUCGUCUACCUCAACCUUCGAAAAGCAUCCGUUAUACAAGUUAUGGCGAUACUCCCGAACUCCCGCCCCAGUACUGGGUGGCGUCGAGGUUAUCUCACCAAUGAACUGCAUAAAAGAGAUUUUCGAUGUCGGCGUACUAAACUCAGGUAUUCCAGAACUGCAACGAUAAAAUUAUGACGACAACACCUUGGAGCUCAACUCCCCGGGACACUUCCACAAAACCCCUGACAGGAGGCACCAAGACAAUGUUCUCGUCACAAAACCAUCGGAACGAUUCCAAGAUACCCGCGUGAUCCUAAAAAAAUAGUGAAAUUUGAGAAGAGAAGAGUCAAAACUCUACGUCAGGAUGCCUUACCAGAGCGAUGAGGAGACUGGGAAGUAAAAAGAAUUCCUAAACUCUCUGAUAUAUAAUUCCUGAAUGACUCAAAACAUUUUUCUAGACACAACUCGGCCGCUAAAAACGAUCAAGCAAUGGGGCUCCUAAGCUCGGGGAAGGCUCUGAUUACCAACUUGUAACGCCCCGGACACACCCGCCGGUGGUCGUUACUCCUGGCGGGAUCUAGACUGGCCCCACAGAUCAAUACUAGUCUUUUAUGCGCACUUUGUCCUCACUCAUGCGCACCCGGGAGCAACUUCCCGGUCGGUCACCCAUCCUGACACUACUCCAAGCUGAGCAUGCUUAACUUUGGAGUUCUGUCCGAAUGGGCUACCGGAAAAGAAGAAAUUCCUUAUUGAUAUGAGUAGUCUAUCAUCCCUAAUAAGCCAGGCCAUCACAUACACCCCACUCAGAGGAACCGACGUCCUCGUCGGGCCACAGGAACGUUCCCUCUUGGCACAUACAUCUGUGCUUCCAGUCCAGUACAUGUGCCAUGCCGUGUGCCAUGAUGGGUCACAACCGUCAUGAACAACAUGACCACGCACCUGUCCGCAACCAUUCGUGUAACCGCGAGGGUCGGCUCUGAUACCAACUUGUAACACCCUCGAUGCGGCUAUAUCUCCCACGUGUCGAAGCACGACUUAGAGGCAUAACCGCAUUGAAAGCACUGUCGCAAGUGAGGUAAUCUUCACACAACCCAUGUAAUACAUAAGGGAAAGAUACAUAGUUGGCUUACAAUCGCCACUUCACACAAAUACAUGAAUAAAGCAUUACAACAACCAAAUACAAUCAAGGUCCGACUACGGAACCAAAAUAAAAGAAGAACCCCAAAUGCGACAAAGGUCCCUGAUCGACCCCAACUGGGCUGCACUACUGAUCAACUAGAACGAAACAACACAAAGGACAAGAUCUUCAUCGAGCUCCUCCUUGAGCUUGGUUGCGUCAUCUGCACGGACUCAGCGGCACCUAUAAACUGGUUUUGGAAGUAUCUGUGAGCCACGGGGACUCAGCAAUCUCGCACCCUCGCGAUUAAGACUAUUUAAUCUUAUGGGUAAGGUAAAGGUAAGAGGUGAAGCUGCAGCAAGCGACUAGCAUAUAUGGUGGCUAAACAUACGCAAAAGAGAGCGAGAAGAGAAGGCAAAGCACGGUCGAUAGAAGUAUGAUCAAGAAGUGAUCCUAAAACAACCUACGUCAAGCAUAACUCCAACACCGUGUUCACUUCCCGGACUCCGCCGGAAAGAGACCAUCACGGUUACACACGCUGUUGAUUCAUUUUAAUUAAGGUCAAAUUCAGGUUUUCUACAACCGGACGUUAAAAAAUUCCCAUCUGCCCAUAACCGCGGGCACGGCUUUCGAAAGUUCAAAUCCCUGCAGGGGUGUCCCAACUUAGCCCAUGACAAGCUCUCACGGUCAACGAAGGAAUAGACCUCCUCCCGAGACUUUCCGAUCAGACUCGGUAUCCCGGUACAACAAGACAUUUUGACAGGGUAAAGCUAAACCAGCAACACCACCCAGAUGUGCCGACAAAACCCAAUAGGAGCUACACAUAUCUCGUUCUCAGGGCACACCGGAUGAGCAAGACGUCGGGUAAGCCAGCCCAGAGUUGCCCCUGGUAGCCUCAGACAUCGCUCAGUUGGACCAACACUUAGAGGAGCACUGGCCCGGGGGGUAAAAUAAUGAUGACCCUCAGGAGCACGACUCCCAAGGGAAAAGAAAAAGGCUAGGUGGCGAAUGGUAAAACCAAUGUUGGGCAUUGCUGGAAGAGCUUUACUUAAGGCGAACUAUCAAGGGGUUCCCAUUAUUACCCAACCGCGUAAGGAACGCAAAAUCCGGGAACAUAACACCGAUAUGACGGAAACUAGGGCGGCAAGAGUGGAACAAAACACCAGGCAUAAGGCCAAGCCUUCCACCCUUUACCAAGUAUAUAGGUGCAUUAAUUAAAUAAGAUAUAUUGUGAUAUCCCAACAAGUAAACAUGUUCCCACAAGGAACAACAUCUCCAUGUUCCAACAAGGAACAAACUUCAAGCUUCACCUGCAACUAACAACGCUAUAAGAGGGGCUGAGCAAAGCGGUAACGUAGCCAAUCAACGGUUUGCUGGGACAAGGUGGGUUAGAGGCUUGGUUCAACAAUAUGGGAGGCAUGACAAGCAAGUGGUAGGUAUCGCAGCAUAGGCAUAGCAAAAGAGCGAGCAUCUAGCAAAGCAAAGAUAGUAGUGAUUUCAAGGGUAUGAUCAUCUUGCCUGAAAUCCCGCAAGGAAGAAGAACGAGUCCAUGAAGAAGAUAAACAGACGUAGUCGAACGGUUCCUCACAAAUGCCACGUUAUCGGAACCAACCCGAAGAAGCAAACACCGGAAAGAAGCACACAACAUAGUAAACAACCACCACAUAAGCAUGGCACGAUGCGCAAACAAGUAUGAUGCAUGUCCGGUUUAAAUAUGCAUGGCAUGGCAAAGUGCACAAACAAUUCUACAAAUUAAGUGGAGCUCAAUAUGCAACGUGAUGCAUAUUGACAAAACACCACAUCAAUUAUUUAGUUCUCUCUCGUUUAUGUACACAACAAUAUUAAAUGUUGGUUAACAUGGCAAGAGGUGGAGCAUCGGAAAACUACCUAUCUAGGCAAGUUUAAAUGAGGCCGGAAACAACGAACAACAAAUUCCGGUAACUCCUCAUAUGCAUAUAUUAGGUUUGGUACUGUUCUACCCUAAACAUAAUUUUAGAGUUGUUUAAUAUGCAAAGUGAUGCCACCAUGUUAAACUAGGCAAAAUUCUACCCCAUUUACAUAUAAAGUUUAUUAAAUUUGGAGCUACGGUUAAUUAGUUAUGAAUUAAAUCAUUUUAACAUGCAUAGGAGCAAAUUUACUCAAACAGCAUUUAAAACAUUUCAAACAUAGAUGAAAGUUGCAUAUUAUGAAACUAGAUGAAAUUCUAAGCAAGUUUCAUAUAUAAUUUAUUUAGAUCCGAUGCAUGGUUGUGAAGUUAUUAAAUGCAUGAAACUAGGGGGGGUUUCUGUAAAACCGCAGUCUCGGGAUUAAUUGCUAAAAAUGCAGACAAGGAAAAAAACACACUGGGUCGAAUCUGGUUGGCCCGGUAGUGUACAUGAGAGGGAGUGGAGAGGGGCUGCUCACUUUGGGCCUCGUGGGCCGGCUGCAGAGGAGGCCCGCUAGAUCAACGGGUGAGGCUCGGCUGUGGAGAGGCGGGGAGGCAGGCCGAAUCUGGCUAGGCCUUGGACGCGCUGGGCUUGCGGAUGCAAAGAAGUGGCAUCGUGUCAACAGGCGAAGGGGAGCUGGCCGAGGCGACAGCGGGGUCAUAGGAGCGGUCGUCAUGCUCGCUCGAUGCAGAACAAGCAGAGCGAUGGUGAGCCGGUGAGGCGGGAACGCGGCGAUGGGGGUGGAAGCAGGGGUGCACCGCGGGCGGCUGGACGAAGCGCGCGAGGAGGCAAGGGCUCGUGCCCGUCCUCGUGAAGCAGGAGGGCGGCGGCGGACUUGGCACGGAGGCGACCACCGGCGGCAAGUGGGUGGCGGGGACGACGGAAUCCGGCGGUGAGACGAUGAGAACCAAGGCGAGGGAGGGGGUCGAGCGUGUCUCGUCUCCUGCUCGAAGCAGAGGACGCAGGGGAAGCAGAGGUCGGCAGCGAGGGGUGCGGGGUCGAGAGGCGGCAACGGCGAGCGUUUGUUGCGGGACUCCAUGGCGUUCCUGUUGCAGAGAGCGAGAGAUGAGAGGGGGAGAAGAGAGAAGUGGGAAAGAAAGGAAAGGGCAGCGCGGGGCUCAUCUGUUGGGUGCCCCGGUGGUGUGGAUGGCCGGACGGAGGCGGGGACGCGGAGUUCUGUUGAAGCGGUCGCCGGCGAGAGGCUGGCGUCUUGCGGGCUCGCCAUGCUCGGGUGCUUGGAUCGAAAGGGGGCUGCGGGAUUGGCCCAAUGGGGAAUUUCGGGGAGAGGAGGUGGGUGGAUUGGGAGGGAUCCCGAUGAUGAUUUGGAAGGUGGCGGCGGGGGAAUGGGACAAGCCCCUAGAAGUUAGGAUUUUGUCCAGAUUAGGUUAAGGGUCUAUAUAUAGUAAGUGGAUUUUGGAUAGGGGCAUUUGGUCCCUCCGAUCUUAAUCGAACGGACGGGGAAAAUUGGUUAGGUAGCCCAAAUAAGAAAAUGAUGACGUUUUGUAGAUGUUUGGGGAUGAUCCGGACACGACGGUGACGACUGCUCGGGUCGGGUCCGGGACAAUUUUCGGACACGCGUGCGAGGAGGGCUGCGGGCUGACGAGAGAGGUUAGGUUGGACCUGGCGGUAGGUAGUGAGCUGUGUAGACGGUCUCGAGCUGAGAGAAGAGAAGAGAGGGGGGCCUGACGACUGUUUCCGGGGACCGAAAACGUCCGAUGAAGAGACCAGCUAUAUUGCCGCUAUAGUUAAUCGUUGGGGCGUCAAACGAACUCCAAAUGCGAUGGAACUUGACAGGCGGUCUAUCUACACUAUAAUAAGACCACACGCCAACUUUCAACCCAUUCCGAUAACAUUUUCUGGCCACUUAUAAAAAACUAUUUCGGACAUGCCGCGGGCGCGUGCAAGUGUGGUUGGGCUCAGAACGGACAACGGGCGGUACAAGAAGGCCGGGAUAGAUGCAAGUUUUGAAAACAUGAUGAUGCAAUGCACAUGAUGACAUGAUAAGAUGCAACACGCAAGCAAAAGACCUGACAACGACAGCGAAUAACUCGAAGACACCUGGCACAACGGUCUCGGGGCACCACAUAUGGGCCGGCCUGCUAAUUUUUACUGGGCGGUCUUUUUCACCGGAAUGGGCCACUGUUGGGCCGUGCCACGUGUCGACCUAUCAUAGGCGCCUCCUGUCCAAUGAGUGGAUGACAUCUGUCCCUACGGUGAGUCAACACGUGUUUCCUACGGCCAAUGAGAAUUUUACAUGUGGAAAAUCCCCAUUGUUCCGGGCUGUUAACGGGUUAUCGGAUCCGAAACCGGACCCGAUAGCUUAACGGCGACCCGUUAUGGUGGAUGCCAUGUGUCGGUUACCCUUGACGAAAGCACUUUCAUGACGCAUCAUUUACCGUCAUGGAAGUUGACACUUCCGUGAUGAUAAUUUUGGUAAUGUCAUGGAACACUUCUACGACAGCACAGGUAUGACUAUCUUGAUUAUGUCAUAAAAUCAUCAUGGAUGUUGAAAGUGCGUUAUAUCGACUAGAGGGGGGUGAAUAGGCGAUUUUUAUGAAAGUCUUCAAAAUGUGAAAGUUAUGAAGACAAACGACCGAAAUAAAUCUAUUACACUGCAGCGGAAGGUAGACUACACUAGGCAAGCCAUAGUCAAGUAUUCAAUAGAGUGAAAGCACAAUGACUAAGAGCAGCAAUGUAGUAAGGAUCAAGUAGGAAGAAAUUAUGAAGCCAAACAGAACACGCAGUCACUCAGUGAAGAUAAAAGAUAGUGCAAUCAUACAAUGUCUUCACAAGGAGUAACAGUAUGUAAAGAGAAGGGACGGAUGAAACCAGUGACUUGUUGAAGACAAUGAUGUGCUGGACCAGUUCUAGUUGCUGUGACAACUGUAUGUCUGGUUAGGGAAGCUAGGUAUUUAAACCUGAGGACACACAGUCCCGGACACCCAGUCCUGAACAUGCAGCUCAGGACACCCAGUCCUCACCGUAUUCCCCUUGAGCUAAGGUCACACAGACCUCGCCCAAUCACUCUGGUAAGUCUUCAAGGUAGACUCCCAAACCUUCACAGACUUCGUUCACCGGUGAUCCACAAUGUCUCUUGGAUUCUCAGAACGCGACGCCUAACUGGCUGGAGGAUGCACAGUCCUUAAGUGUAAUAAGUCUUCAGAUCACACAGACAAGAAGACUUAAGUGAUGCCUAAUUCUCUUUGGCUCUGGGUGGUUAGGGCUUUAUCCUCGCAAGGAAUUCUCUCUCAAAUGCUUCGAGGUGGGUUGCUCUCAAAUGAUAGAAGUCGUACACUAACUCUGAGCAGCCAACCGUUUAUGGUUGUAGGGGGUGGGCUAUUUAUAGCCACAAGGCAACCCGACCUGAUUUGUCCGAAAUGACCCUGGGUCACUAAGGAACUGACACGUGUUCCAAUGGUCAGAUUUCAAACUCACACGGCAACUUUACUUGGGCUGCAAGCAAAGCUGACUUGUCCGACUUUGGACAAGAUUCUCUCUCAUAGUCUUCACUCGAAGACAUAGGUUUUGGUUAGGCAUCACUUCAGUCAUUCUGACUGGUUCUCUUGGACCCCACUUAAUAGUACGGUGGUUCCUAUGACUCAACAAAGGAGAAAAAGAACUACGAAAGAUCUAAGUCUUCGAGCUCCAUAGGCUUCAUGUGAUGUCUUCUCUUGUCAUAGUCUUCAAUGUGAAUAUCUUCAUAUACCACCUUUGACUUCAAUGUCUUCAUACAUUUUUAGGGGUCAUCUUUGGUAGGAAAACCGAAUCAAUGAGGGACUUCUACCUGUGUUAUCCUGCAAUUCUUACAAACACAUUAGUCCCUCAACUAAGUUUGUCGUCAAUACUCCAAAACCAACUAGGGGUGGCACUAGAUGCACUUACAAUCUCCCCCUUUUUGGUGAUUGAUGAAAAACUAGUUGAAGUUUUCAACGGGGAAUAUAAUAUGUGAAAUUGUAAAGGAUAAGGAAUUGUCUUCAUAAGUUGCAAGGGCUCCCCCUGAAGAUGUGCAUAUAAGUAAUUUGCUUUUGGAAUGCAAAUUCACAUGGCAGGUUGUGCUUGUGGAGAUCCUCUUCAACUUAUGAUGACAAUCCACUAUGCAUGUGAAGGUAUGUGAAGAUAAUGAUAUGCAUAAUGGAAAAUGGACAUCUGCAAAAUGAUCUAAGUGCGGAAUUUAUCGUCGCAUCACAAGGUGGCAAAUAAGUAGCAGACGACCAUCGAGUUUUAAGUGUUACAACUCAAAGAACCAAAUGUAUCAAAACGAGAGUUGUAAACACGAAGCAAAAUAUAAAGCACCCGCCCAUAUGGACCCACUUGAAGACUAUCAAACUCGUAUGCUUCUCCCCCUUUUGUCAGUAAGGACCAAAAAGGUUCGAAGACAUAGAGCAUCUACUCGUUCCCAUGAAGAGUAGGUGAUGCAGCAGGGUCGUCGGUGAUGUUUGGCAGUGCAGAAGAGCUUGGAGCAGUGUUGAAGCAUGCUGAAGGAGGCGGCGAUGAAGUAGCAUCGUCGUCAUCCUCGAUCACUCUGGCAUUUACAGUUGCAGGAGAGGAAGAGAACUCAGAGUCUUUAAGAGAUGGAGUUCGUCGCAGCACUGCCCUUCGAGGAGGUGUGGAGUCAAACUUGAAGUGCUCAAUGAAGCCAUCCUCUUGAAGAUCAUCUUCAGAACACAUCAGUGUCAGCCCUUUCCAUGUGCGUCGAGAAGUUUCAUGGGCAACAAAAGCAUUCUUGGUGGCAAGAUUGCGAAUGCAAUUAACAUCCACCAAGAGGCUUUGCAUUUGACGCUUCAGCCAGUCAUGAUGCCUAUCUUGUUUCUGAUGAAGAGCCACAAGAAGCUCUCGGUCAUUGAGAACACGAGUGCGCUUCUUGGGUCGUGGAGCAGUUGUACUGUCAGUGGCUUCAGUGAGAGCAGGAUGCGGUGCACGUGUAGUGCCAGCCAAAGGAUACACACGAGCGACGGCUUCAACUCCUUCAAUGUUCUGAGAAAAACUCUGAUGCUCUGCAUUCUGAAGACUUAGGGGUUCCUUGGCAGGCUCAGGAUAGAUGGCUUCAAUUGACAUAUCCACAUCAGGCAGAAAAAUCCGAUGAUUGCGAGCAGAUGGCUGAUAUGAGAUAGUGGAGUGAAGUUUGAUCAGUCGCAUGACCCAUGGGGCAUAGAACUUCAAGCCAAACAGAUCAGAGCCUGAUGCAGCAAGUUGGCGAAUGAAGAAGUCCUGUGCAUUGAAGCAUUUUCCAUGAAGAAUAUAGAAGACCAAAGUCUUCAUUGCACCUUCAAGCUUGGCAUGUGAAGAGUGCCCUUUGAUGGGCCAGAGAGUUCGCCUUAUGAUGUGAUAAAUAGUCCUUGGCAGAUACUCUAGGUCUUCAACAAAGAACUCUUUGGGAUAUGCAGCAUCUUGGGGUAAUGGCUUCAUCAUACUGAGCAUCUGACUCAUGUUAGGUUCAGACUUCUGAAAGAUGCUCUCCACGGCUUCACUGUGAAGUUGACAACCAGAUUCGUAGAGAUCUCCGAGAGUGGGCAGACCAGUGAGCUCAAUGAUGUCAAAGGCUUUGGCUUCGUGAUGAACAUUUCCUGUCAUCCACUCCAGGACCCAAGUCUUCGGAUCUCUGUUAUACCCGCGGAUGUGAAGUGUGCCAUAGAAUUGGAGCAGUAACUCUUCAUUCCAAUGCUCUUGGUCAGUGACGAAUGGCAGCAAUCCAACUUCUUUGAAACAAUCCAGAGCUUCUUCCAGACAGGGCAGACCAGCUAUAGCUUCAAUGUCAAGACACUUGUGGGGGAAGAUGCGACCUUGAUUGUAUAGAAUGCAGGAGUAAUAGUUGCGAUGCGGAUAGCUCCAGAACCGAUCAGAUGACAUCCUUUUCCUUGAGUAGGGGUUCCUGGAGCUAUUGAAGAAUGUGUUGUUUGCUCUGAAACUAUUGAUAUUAAAGGAUCCAGGUGCUGAUGCAGGAUCUGGGAACCUGGGCAAUCUUGGGAUUGGCUUCUGUACCUGAGGCCUGUGCUCAACAUGAUAGUCGAACUGGGGACCGGCAGCAGGUGCAGGAGCAGAAGCAGUGGGAUCAGUGGCUUCGCUGACUUCUGAUGCUUUUGUUGGGGAGGACUCCACAUUAGCUUCAGCCAUGACAGCGUUAGUGGCUUCAUUGGUGGUGGUGGUGGCAGCCUCAAGAUUUUCAACCUCCACUUGACGAGCUGGAGGGUCGGUCACAAUCACGUUCUCCUCGAGAACCGCUUCUUGGUGGGACAAGGGAGUAGCAGCUUGUGGGACUUCUUCAUCGGCUGAUGCAGCCGGAAUGUCUUCAGCAGAGACUGGAGGCCUAGGUCCUUUGCGAAGCCUGCGCAACACAGGCGACGCCUGUGUAGUUGGAGUUGGCUGGGCCUCAAAGUCUUCUUCCUCUUGUGGGCGAUCAGCCCAUGAAGCAUCCUGAGCGAUUGGCGUCAUAGGACGACCAAUGCUGAUGAGUUCGUUGUUCUCGAGCUGAGGAAGGACUGCACCAUCUUCUACAUGGUCAUGUUGACCAAUGUCUUCAGCAGCGAUGAGAUCAGCUGUUGGAAAGUCUUCAGCUUCAUGAGCCUCUGUGAAAGCAGGCUCAUGGAUUGUCAGUUGGCGUUCAGCGUCAGGACGAACCAUGGAAAUGGGUUCAACUAUCAAAGGCUCUGUGGGAGCAGCCCGAUCUUUCUUGGUCUUCCUCUUCUUCUUGGAGGGGGCAGUAGGAGAGGCUUCAGGAUGUUUCCUCUUCCUGGCUUCAGCCUCAGCAGUCCUCGUCUUCUUGAGCUCUUAAGCGGUUGACCGGCUUUUUGGCUUCAAGCCAGUCAUUCUAGUUGGGAAGACAAUGGGAUCUGCUUCCUGCCUUGGUGCGUCAGGUUCAGCCGUAGCGGGCUUCUUCAUCUUCUUUGCUGCCAUCCUGGGGUCGAUGCCAGGAUGCCCAAGGGCCUUGCGCUUCUCAGCCUCAUUGUAGGCAUGCACACAUUUGUCAGCCAGAACCUUCAUGCGCUCACGAGAACCGUGAGCUUAUGCACAUUUCUUAAGAAAGGCUUCCUUGAGCUCAUGCAGCAUGAUCUUGAAGUUCUUCACCUCUUGCAUGCUGAGCUUGGCCAUAUGCUUCUUGAACUGAGCCUUUUCAUAGUCAAUCUUCUGCUUCAGUUCAACAAUGCGUUGGGCGAUAGCUAACUCUGAAGCAAUGGCGCCAUGGAAGGCGACACUGAGGCCAAUGGGUAGUUGCAGAUCAUCGAAGCUGAUGUUUGGCGUGUCAAACCAUUCAUCAAUGAAGUUGUGGAUGAUUGUUACAUCAAAGAGAGGCAGAUCAUUGAAGAUUUCUGCUUCUUCUUUGCUCUUGAUGAGUUGCUCAAGAGCGUCAUCUGCAAGAUCUUCAUCACUUGAUAGAUCAAUGGCAUCAUUGCGCAGAAUGGCAGCAGCUGUUAGCUCUUGGCCGGUGUGUGGCAGAGGCAUCUUGACCUUCUGGGGCUUGGAGAUGCAUGACAAAUCUUCAGACUGCACACUGUCUUCAGGAGGUGUAGUUGCCAGUGGCUUCGCCCGUGAGAGUUUUGGAGCAGAGGCAGGCUUUGAAGCUUUUGGUUGCUUCUUUGGCUUCGAUGCUGCAGGCGCUUCAUCUGAUUCAGCGUCAUCUGCAGGCUCGUUCACGGCAGUCCCUUGAACCAAGAUAUGGGUGAUGAGACCUCCAAGGUUGUAGAAAGGACCGACGACAUUGGAUUCUGCAUCACGUGUGCCGUCAGCCCUUGGAGCAGAAGGACCAGGGUUGAAGUCUAGUCCCAAUGUCUUCAUGUUCUGCUUUGCUGAGUUCUGGGCAAACUAGAAGUUGCGCUUGAACAGAAUGUCGUCAUGACACCAUAGUAGGGACGAUGGGUCAGCAUCCGCAGGUUGUGGUCCACGGACCAUGCAGGGAUAGAAGCCUUGUUCAAUGGCUUCAUCUCUGGUCCUGGGUUGAAAACUUUUGUAGAGGAUGUCUCCCCAUGGUCGCUUGAUGGCAUUCUUUUCAGCAUAUUCCUUGGUCACAAAUCUGUACUUGAACCACUGCUCUGUCCAAUAGCAUCGAAUCCAUUGGAUUCGUGUCUUGCGCUGAUUGUAAUCCUCUUCAGGAUCUGUCUUGUACAGCUCUGAGAGGUCAUCGGGCAGAUCUCUUGAUGUUUCUCCUCGAUGCUUUCUGCCACCCUUCCUUGCUGAUUUUUCUGAAGCCAUGAACCUUAAUCUAAAAGGCUUCAAUACGUUCAGAGGCUUCAAAGGUUUUCGCUUGCUGGACAAACAGGAACUGGCUUCGAGAGAAUUUAUGUGAUGCUGUAAGAAUUCUGCAAAUGAAUGCAGACUAUGAGAACCAAGGGAUUCUCCCACGGACAUGUACCUGUGACAGCAUUAAGGUGCGAGGGAAGGGGAAUAGGUCAUAUGCAUUCUCAGAAGAUUUUGAAGAUAAAUCAGUUUAGAAGACAUUGACCUCAUCGUGCGAAGACAUUCACUCAUAGAUAAGGAGUUGGUUCAAGAUUUGUAUGAAUCCACAGAUCAGUACAAGUGAGGAAUCUAACUACUUUGUGAAGCAUAAGUGAAUAUACUAGGCAUGUUAUGAGAUGCCGUAUGAAAGGGAUCCAACUUGUGUGAAUAGAAACUACUUGUGGUAGAAAGUGAUAAAGCUAUAGGAUCAAAGGGGGUCGUAAAAAGGAGGUUUUAUUUACCACACGAAGAACUGCUAGAUGAAGUGGAAGAGGAGGCUGAGCAGUUCGAUCUUCCGUGCCCUAACUUGGCGACGGAGGACACCUACGGCGAUGGCGGAGAGGACGAUGUCCGCGGUCAGCGUGAAGACGGCGUCGGAGAGGUUGCGGCAGCGAAGCGCUUCGUCGCCGGCGUCGUCGAGUGCUAGCAGUGGCGCUAGGGUUCGUGCGAGAGUGGAAGAAGAGAUAAUGACUGUGGUGAGGCGUGUAUUUAUAGGUACAGGGGCGGCACUGCGUUAUUACACAGGUGCCCCUAGAGAUUCACAUCUGAUGGGAAUGUGGCCGUCAUGCAGCAUAUCGGGGGUUGUUCCACGUCCCAUGCACGCCUGGAUUGUCGGGUGGUCGUUCCCACUUCUCCGGGUUUCAGGUGAAGGAAUGAGCAUUGAAAACGGACUUAAUGGUUGUCUCUGUAUCUUCUGCUGACAAGGACGCAAAGAAGACAUUCGACAGUUUCAAUAGAAUGCAUAUGAUUUGGAGAGAUAGAGUUUGAGAUAGAAAGCAUAGAGAGGUUAGGGUCCGAUCACAUUCACUUAGUUCAAAAGAUUCAACAAGAAGACAUAGCUUUAAGUGAAUGCUGUAGAGGACAGAACACUAGUAUAUGUAUAUAUAUAUAAUCAACAUAGUGAAGAUAAUCAUGAAGACAUGUUGAGAUUGAAGCCAAACCAAAUGUGAAGACCUAGCUAAUGUAACACCAUGAGUGAAGCACUUCAAACAGAAAGUUUGGUGGUGGCUUUACCCACCGUAUAGGAAGUAUUAGACCCAGACACGGCGCACAAUUAUCAUGGCGCUCCGAAGUCAAAUUCCACAUUAAUGUAUUCACACUUAGAAUGUAUGUCUUCAUUGAUUGAAGAUAUACUUUUAUUCAUGUGUUGCACAUCUAAGUCAUCAAUAUGCAUAAGUGUUAGGAUGUGUGCCUAAUCACGGGACAUUUGAGGAUUCCAAGAUAUUUAGCUCACAUCGUAACUUGCAAAAUCUCUUCUCAUCCAAGGGCUUGGUGAAGAUAUCUGCCAAUUGCUCUUCAGUGUUGACGUGUAUGAUAUCAAUAUCUUCCUUCACAACAUGAUCUCUGAGAAAGUGAUGACGAAUUUCAAUGUGCUUUGUCUUCGAGUGCUGAACUGGGUUGUUGGCAAUCUUGAUGGCGCUUUCGUUGUCGCAGUAGAGUGGCACUUGCUUCAGAUGAAUGCCAUAGUCCUUGAGUGUUUGCUUCAUCCAUAGAAGUUGAGCACAGCAAGAUCCAGCAGCAAUGUAUUCAGAUUCAGCAGUGGAGAGAGAUACACAGUUCUGCUUCUUUGAAGACCAACAUACAAGUGAUCGUCCCAGAAAAUGACAUGUGCCUGAUGUAGACUUGCGUUCCACCUUGUCACCAGCAUAAUCAGCAUCCGAGAAUCCAACCAGAUCAAACUCUGAGCCCUUUGGAUACCAUAAUCCUAGAGUUGGGGUGUGAGCCAAAUAUCAAAGAAUUCGCUUCACAGCUAAGUGAUGCGACUCCUUUGGUGCCGCUUGGAAUCGAGCACACAUGCAAACACUAAGCAUAAUAUCUGGCCUAGAUGCACAUAGAUAAAGUAAAGAACCAAUCAUGGAGCGGUAUACCUUUUGAUCAAACUCUUUACCAUUGUCGUCGGGACCCAGAUGAUGUUUGGCUGGCAUUGGCGUCAUGAAGCCUUUGCAGUCUUGCAUCCCAAACUUCUUCAGGCAAUCUUUGAGAUACUUCUCUUGAGAUAUGAAGAUGCCGUUGCGUUGCUGUCGUAUUUGGAGACCGAGGAAGAACUUCAGCUCUCCCAUCAUUGACAUCUGAUAUUGCUCUUGCAUCAUAUAUCCAAACUCUUCACUGUACUUCUGAUUGGUGCAGCCAAAGAUAAUGUCAUCCACAUAUAUUUGGCACACAAACAAUUCACCAUCAUAUGUCUUCGUGAAGAGAGUGGGGUCGAGGGAACCAGGUAUGAAGCCUUUGCUCUUCAGGAAGUAUUUGAGUGUGUCAUACCAAGCCCGAGGGGCUUGUUUGAGGCCAUACAGUGCCUUGUUGAGCUUGUAUACCAUGUCAGGAUGUUUUGGAUCUUCAAAGCCAGGCGGUUGUGCAACAUACACUUCUUCUUCAAUCUUGCCAUUAAGAAAAGCACUCUUCACAUCCAUUUGAUAUAGAAGUAUGUUAUGAUGAUUUGCAUAGGCCAGCAGUAUGCGUAUGGCUUCAAGUCGAGCCACAGGAGCAAAUGUUUCAUCGAAGUCAAUGCCUUCCACUUGAGUAUAUCCUUGAGCAACGAGGCGAGCUUUGUUUCUGACAACUUGACCAUGCUCAUCUUGCUUGUUGCGGUAUAUCCAUUUGGUGCCAAUUAUGUUGUGCUUCCGAGGAUCAGGAUGCUUAACCAGUUCCCAUACAUUAUUCAGCUCAAACUGUUGAAGCUCUUCUUGCAUAGCUUGAAUCCAUUCAGGUUCCAUGAAGGCUUCCUCAACUUUCUUGGGUUCUGUUAUUGAGACGAAUGCGAAGUGCCCACAGAAAUUUGCCAGCUGAGUCGCCCUUGAACGAGUAAGCGGACCAGGUGCAUUGAUGCUAUCAAUUAUUCUCUCAAUCUGCACUUCAUUGGCAACACGAGGAUGUAUAGGGUGAAGAUUUUGCUCUUGCUGAUCAUUGUCAUUGUUAGUGGGAUUGUCUUCAGACUGAGCAUUGUCUUCAGGUUGAUCAGGUGCAGAGAUGAUAAGUUCCUCUUCAGGUUGAGCUUCAGAGGGUAUGAUUUCUCCAGUUCCCAUUAGCUUGAUUGAUUCGCUGGAUGGAACUUCAUCUAGCACAUUUGGCAGGUGCUCUCUUUGUGAACCGUUAGUCUCAUCAAAUCGCACAUCCACUGUUUCAACCACUUUAUAGAGAAAGAGAUUGAAGACUCUGUAGGAGUGUGAAUCCUUUCCAUAUCCAAGCAUAAAACCCUCAUGUGCUUUUGGUGCAAAUUUUGAAGUGUGAUGUGGAUCCUUGAUCCAGCACCUGGCACCAAAUACUCUGAAGUAACUGACAUUUGGCUUCUUGCCAGUAAGGAGCUCAUAAGAUGUCUUGUUCAGAAGCUUGUGAAGAUAAACACGAUUGAUUGUAUGGCAUGUAGUAUCAAUGGCUUCAGGCCAGAAUUUUCUUGGGGUCUUGUAUUCAUCUAGCAUCGUUCUGGCCAUCUCAAUGAGUGUUCUGUUCUUGCGUUCGACGACGCCAUUCUGCUGUGGCGUGUACGGGGCCGAGAAUUCAUGUGUGAUGCCCAAGGUAUCAAGAUAUGUAUCAAGGUCAGUGUUCUUGAAUUCAGUGCCAUUGUCACUUCUGAUGUGCUUUAUCUUGGCGCCAUAAUUGAUCAUAGCUCGAUUGGCGAAGCGUCUGAAGACAUCCUGCACUUCAGUCUUGUAAAGGAUUAUGUGCACCCAAGUAUAUCUAGAAUAAUCAUCAACAAUAACAAAGCCAUAGAGGCAAGCAGUAGUAGUAAGAGUUGAGUAAUGAGUGGGACCGAAAAGAUCCAUGUGGAGCAGUUCGAAGGGUCGAGUGGUUGUCAUGAUUGUCUUCGAGGGAUGUUUGGCCCUCGUCAUCUUCCCUGCUUCACAGGUACCGCAUAAGUGAUCUUUCUUGAACUUGACACCCUCGAUGCCUAUGACAUGCUUCUUCUUUGCAAGGGUGUGGAGGUUCCUCAUGCCAGCAUGCCCUAGCCUCUGAUGCCAGAACCAGCAUUCUGAAACCUUUGCUAGAAGACAUACGGCAAGCUGUGGUCCUGCCGAAAAAUCUACCACGUACAAAUCAUCUUUCCGAUACCCUUCAAACACUAGAGACUUGUCAGAUUCCAUUAGUACAAGGCAACGAUAUUUUCCAAAUAUUACGAUCAUGUUCAAAUCGCAAAGCAUUGAGACAGACAUUAAGUUGAAGCCAAGGGAUUCAACAAGCAUGACUUUAUCCAUGUGUUGAUCCUUUGAGAUUGCAACUCUACCUAGACCCAAUACCUUACUUUUACUAGUGUCAGCAAAUGUGAUGUGACUCUUGUCGGAUGGACGUAAGGUUGAGUCCAUAAGAAGGCUUCUUUUGCCAGUCAUGUGGUUGGUACACCCACUAUCAAUAAUCCAUUCUGAAGACGCUGGUGUCGUACCCUACAGUGCAGUUAGGGGGAUAGGCUUCACGAAGAGAAUUGUGAAGCAAAAACAUUUAAUGAGCCAGUGGGUUAUGAAAUCUUAGAUCCAGAUUAGGACUGAUAGGGAGAGUAGCAAGCGAUUCAGGAACGAAGUACAUAGUAAGACCAUUCGGGCAUUUGAUCUUGCGCCCUGCAAGAUAUUUAAGGUCCCCAGCAAUAGCGUCAGACGAUUUUGGUUUUCUGCUGGAGACCUUUCCCUGCAAAAGAGAGUUAAGCUUUCUUAGCCACCCACAUCUUCAAGGGUGGCUUAGAAGCAAUAAGUCUAAGUGCAGCGUCUGAGAAUUUUGGCUUUGGAGCCCUAGAAAAAAUUCUUGCAGGCGGACAAUAGUACUCAUAAGAAUAAGCAGAAUAGUUCUUGGUCUUAUGAACAUGGUGGUUUGAUGAACCGUGCUCAUAUUCAUAGGCCUGAGUACGGUUUCCCUGCAAAACAUUUGCGUUAGUGCGACUCAGGUGAGUCCUCUGUCUGUAUGAAGCCUUUGGACCGUAUGAAGUCUAUGGUCUGAGGUUUGUCUUCUUCACGUGUGGUGUCAUGAUGACAUUCAUAGGAAGAUUCUCCAGACACUUUUUCGGAACCCAGAUCUUCUUCAUAGACGGUCCAUUCCUGCAGUUAGUACCAAUGUACCUGGCAAACACUUCACCAUUUUGAUUCUUAAACAGUUUAUAGUUUGCAUCAAAGGAUUCAUCAAUGACAAUGGGAUUUGCACAAGAGAAGCCAGAUAGAUUGGAUAGAUCUGCUGAAGAUUCCUUUGCAGCAACCCAUGUGGUUUUGGGGUACUACUCAGGUUUCCAGUAAGAGCCAUCAGCAUUCAUUUUCCUUACGAACCCAACACCCUCUUUCCUCGGGUUUUGGUUCAAGAUCUGCUUUUUGAGGACAUCACAUAGUGUCUGAUGCCCUUUAAGACUUUUGUACAUCCCUGUUUCAAGCAAUGUCUUCAACCUAGCAUUCUCAUCAGCAAUAGCAGUGGAAUCCUUAGCAGAGGGGUUAGUUCCCACAUCAACAGUUGAAGAUAUUGCAACAGUAGCAGCAGUAGAACAUUCAACAACAGUAGUAGCAUUAUCACGCUCAAUGCACUUAAGACAUGGUGGUUCAAAUCCUUCCUGAGCGGAGCUGAUCUGUUUGGAGCGAAGUGACUCAUUUUCCUUUUGAAGAUCUUCAUGAGCCGCUCUCAAUUUCUCAAGAUCUUGCUUCCUUUGAAGAUAAUCAUAGGAAAGCUUUUCAUGAGUUGUUGAGAGCGUUUCAUGACGACUUUCAAGUUCCUCAUACUUAACGUGAAGAUUUUUUAUAUCUUUAAUUAAGGACUCAGAACGAGUCAUUUCAGCGCCUAACAGAUCAUCGCUUUUGUCUAACAGUUUUUGAAUAUGUUCCAUGGCUUUCUGUUGUUCAGUUGCAAUUUUAGCAAGUGUUUUGUAGCUGGGUUUUGAACCACAAUCAGAGUCAUAGUCACUGGAUGUUUGAUAGUGAGUAGUGCGUGUGUUUACCUUGGCACCGCGUGCCAUGAAGCAGUAGGUAGGAGCAGAGUAGUCCUUGUCAUUUGCAUCGGUGUCGGUGAUGAGGUCAUUGUCUUCAGUGUUGAAGAUGGACUUGGCAACGUAUGCUGUAGCCAGACUUGCGACGCCAGAAUCGGACUCCUCCUCAGACUCCACCUCCGCCUCCUCAGAAGCGGACUCCUCCUCUGAAUCCAUUUCCUUGCCAACAAACGCACGUGCCUUGCCAGAUGAGCUUUUCUUGUGUGAUGAAGACUUUGAAGAAGACUUGGAAGAGGACUUUGAGUAUUUCUUCUUCUUCUUGUCGUCAAAGUCAUAUUCCUUGCUCUUCUUCUUCUUUUUGUUCUCAUUGUCCCACUGCGGACACUCAGAGAUGAAGUGGCCAGGUUUCUUGCACUUGUGACAUGUUUUCUUCUUGUAGUCAUGAGCAGAAGCUUCAUCAUUCCUUGAGCUUGAUCGGGAAGACUUUCUGAAGCCUUUCUUCUUGGUGAAUUUUUGGAACUUCUUGACAAGCAUAGCAAGUUCCCUUCCAAUGUCUUCAGGAUCAUCAGAACUGCUGUCAGAUUCUUCUUUAGAUGAGGAGACAACUUUUGCCUUCAAGGCACAAGUUCUCCCAUAGUUUGGACCAUAGAUAUCUCUUUUCUCAGAAAGCUGAAACUCAUAUGUGUUGAGCCUCUCAAGUAUGUCAGACGGCUCGAGUGUCUUGAAAUCAGGACGUUCUUGAAUCAUCAGGGCUAGGGUGUCAAACGAACUGUCAAGUGAUCUCAGUAGUGUCUUGACGACUUCAUGCUUGGUGGUCUUGGUAGCGCCAAGGGCUUGAAGCUCAUUCGUGAUGUCAGUGAGUCGAUCAAAUGUGAGCUGGACAUUCUCAUUGUCAUUUCUCUUGAAGCAGUUGAAGAGGUUGCGAAGGACACUGAUUCUCUGAUCUCUCUGGGUUGAGACGCCUUCGUUGACCUUGGAGAGCCAGUCCCAGACUAGCUUAGAUGUUUCCAAAGCACUCACGCGGCCAUACUGUCCUUUGGUCAGAUGACCACAGAUGAUAUUCUUGGCAGUAGAGUCCAGUUGAACGAACUUCUUGACGUAAGCAGCAGUGACACCUUCUCCAGCCUUGGGAACACCGUUCUUGACGACAUACCAUAGGUCGACGUCAAUGGCUUCAAGAUGCAUGCGCAUCUUAUUCUUCCAGUAGGGAUAUUCAGUUCCAUCGAAGACGGGGCACGCAGCGGAGACUUUAAUUAUCCCUGCAGUCGACAUAGCUAAAACUCGAGGUGGUUAAACCGAAUCACACAGAACAAGGGAGUACCUUGCUCUGAUACCAAUUGAAAGUGCGUUAUAUCGACUAGAGGGGGGUGAAUAGGCGAUUUUUAUGAAAGUCUUCAAAACGUGAAAGUUAUGAAGACAAACGACCGAAAUAAACCUAUUACCCUGCAGCGGAAGGUAGACUACACUAGGCAAGCCAUAGUCAAGUAUUCAAUAGAGUGGAAGCACAAUGACUAAGAGCAGCAAUGUAGUAAGGAUCAAGUAGGAAGAAAUUAUGAAGCCAAACAGAACACGCAGUCACUCAGUGAAGAUAAAAGAUAGUGCAAUCAUACAAUGUCUUCACAAGGAGUAACAAUACGUAAAGAGAAGGGAAGGAUGAAACCAGUGACUUGUUGAAGACAAUGAUGUGUUGGACCAGUUCCAGUUGCUGUGACAACUGUAUGUCUGGUUAGGGCGGCUAGGUAUUUAAACCUGAGGACACACAGUCCCAGACACCCAGUCCUGAACACGCAGCUCAGGACACCCAGUCCUCACCGUAUUCCCCUUGAGCUAAGGUCACACAGACCUCGCCCAAUCACUCUGGUAAGUCUUCAAGGUAGACUCUCAAACCUUCAUAGACUUUGUUCAACGGCAAUCCACAAUGUCUCUUGGAUGCUCAGAACGCGACGCCUAACCGGCUGGAGGAUGCACAGCCCUCAAGUGUAAUAAGUCUUCAGAUCACACAGACAAGAAGACUUAAGUGAUGCCUAAUUCUCUUUGGCUCUGGGUGGUUAGGGCUUUAUCCUCGCAAGGAAUUCUCUCUCAAAUGCUUCGAGGUGGGUUGCUCUCAAACAACAGAAGCCGUACACUAACUCUGAGCAGCCAACCAUUUAUGGUUGUAGGGGGUGGGCUAUUUAUAGCCACAAGGCAACCCGACCUGAUUUGUCCGAAAUGACCCUGGGUCACUAAGGAACUGACACGUGUUCCAACGGUCAGAUUUCAAACUCACACGACAACUUUACUUGGGCUACAAGCAAAGCUGACUUGUCCGACUCUGGACAAGAUUCGCUCUCAUAGUCUUUACUCGAAGACAUAGGUUUUGAUUAGGCAUCACUUCAGUCAUUCUGACUGGUUCUCUUGGACCCCACUUAACAGUACGGUGGUUCCUAUGACUCAACAAAGGAGAAAAAGAACUACGAAAGAUCUAAGUCUUCGAGCUCCAUAGGCUUCAUGUGAUGUCUUCUCUUUUCAUAGUCUUCAAUGUGAAUAUCUUCAUAUACCACCUUUGACUUCAAUGUCUUCAUACAUUUUUAGGGGUCAUCUCUGGUAGAAAAAUCGAAUCAAUGAGGGACUUCUACCUGUGUUAUCCUGCAAUUCUUACAAACACAUUAGUCCCUCAACUAAGUUUGUCGUCAAUACUCCAAAACCAACUAGGGGUGGCACUAGAUGCACUUACAGAUGUACAUGCAUGACAUAAAACGUGACCUACUGUGACAAACAUGUAUCAUCACGGAAGUGUCUUUUUUGUAGUGCUCUACACCAAAAGUGGUCCACAUGAAUGCCACAAAAGGAGCUCAGGGUCGACGACAGGACCCGGGGCCGGGUUCCUCACCAAGCGGCGCGCUCCUGAAGCUAGCACCUCCCAGUGACAGCUCGGCGGAGCCUAGUCCCGGACAUGGGUCCUCUAAAGCAGGACGUCGUCGCGAACGGGUCGACGGCGAGGAUGCGGGCCGAGCAUCGUCGAGAACAAAUACUAUAUGCAAACAUAACAUUUUUAAAUGAUUGGGUUGUGAUUUCUUAUAUACAAAUUUAAAAAAUGAUAUCAUUGCAUAUGUCAAAAUUCUAUAUGCAUCUAUAACAUCGAUCAUCGUCUAACAAUUUGACAUUAAUCUAAUUCAUCUAGCUAAAACUAACAUUUCUAAAAUUUCUAACAUUUCUAUAUAACUAACAUUUCUAUAACUAAAAAACAAAAAAAAAUUCUAACAUUUCUAUAAAUAUUUCUAUAACUAAAAAACAUAAAAAUUACUAACAUUUUUAUAACUAACAAUGUGUGUGUGUGGCCAUGGCGGGGCAGGAGCUCACCGGCGAGGCGAGCCGACGGGGGCGGCGACGGGGACGGCGAUGACGGGCGGUGACGGAGGGGCGGCGACGGGGGUCGGCGGUGACGGGGCAGAGGAGAAGAAGCAAAGGAAGAGAUGAAAACUGAUGAAAUUCGUAAGUGUUGUUUAUAUAGGAGAGACCUUUAGUACCGGUUGGAGCCACCAACCGGUACUAAAGGUCAAAUUUGACCAGCCCAAGCGGCAGGAAGAGCACCCCUUUAGUACCGGGUGGUGGCUCCAACCGGUACUAAAGACCCCCAUUUAGUACCGGUUGGAGCCAUGACCCGGCACUAAAGGGGGUGCGCUGCCACCCCACGGUGCACAAAGUUUAAUCCCACCUCGCCGAGCGAAGGGCAGCCGCACUGGUUUAUAAACCCAACCACGGCUGCUCCUUCGAGCUCCUCUCUAAAGCAGGCUUCUGGGCCUAAACUGCAUCGCUGCCUUGCGGGCCCGCAUCCUGGCCCAACUACAGGUUGGGUUUCUAGUCGUAUGCAGGCCGUUCUGGUCCAGUAGGCGGGCUUUUUAUUUUAUUUUUAUUUUCUACUUAAUUUUUUUAUUUGUGAGUUGUUUUUUUGCUGUACUUAGGGUUUCUUUGUGAAUAUUUUUGCUUUAGGUACAAAAAUUUACAAACUUUCUAUUAGUGCCAGUAGUUUUCAAAUUUGAAUUAUUUUAAAUUUGUGUGAAUCGCUAGUUUGUGAAUAACUUUACUUUAAAAAUAGAUUUUUCAGUGAUUCUUUUUUCUUAUGUUUAAUAUUAGUGUGUUUUAUCGUUAUAUCCAAUUUGGUAAUACUUAGGUUAUUUAAAAAAUGAAGUGCCUUUGUAACAGAUGAGUUUUUAUCUGAAACCCUGAUACUUCGAAAGAGAUUGUCCAUUUUGUACAUGAAGUGCAUCUAGUUUUUGCCGUAACCCUCUCACUUUUGAGCACAUGCUAUGUGGGUGAAAUGAUGAUAUCGUGCCAACUUUCAACCUUUUCAGAGUUUAUUUGUAGUGCUUUUCUAUUUUAGGGUCAUAUAGCUCAAAAAAUCAAUAAAUGCAUGAAAAAUAACAAAUGAAGUCAGGAAGGGUUGAAAAUUGAUGAUGUGGCUUUGAAUGGUGCAUACUGAACGCACAAAUACAUGUUUCAAAUGCCAAAACACAUAAGUACCUUAACUAUUACAAAGAUACCCUACGGUUUGUCCAAAGUGGGACUUUCCAGAUAUAUAAGUCCCGAAACUCACUAGAGAACAAAGUGAUGACAGUGAAGCCGAUCACAUCCCAGAGUGGGAUCUUUGGGCCGUGUGAAACUUUUUCUUUGCGUGUGUCUCUUUGCGCCGUAACCAUGGACAAUCUUUAUCAUUUAACUGGAUGCUCGGGUCAAUAUUCACUCUGAAUGGAGCAAUUUCAUCAAACUUUUCGUAAUCUUCGGAUAUGUCUGUUUUGUUAUCCACUCCCACGAUGUUUCUUUUCCCUGAAAAAACUAUGUGGCGCUUUGGCUCAUCGUAUGAUGUAUUCGCUUCCUUAUAUUUUCUUUUUCUCGGCUUGGUAGACAUGUCCUUCACAUAGAAAACCUGCGCCACAUCAUUGGCUAGGACGAAUGGUUCGUCUGUGUACACAAGAUUGUUGAGAUCCACUGUUGUCAUUCCGUAUUGCGGGUCUUCCGUUACCCCGCCUUGUGUCAUAUUGACCCAUUUGCACUGAAACAAGGGGGCGUUCAAAUCACGUCCAUAGUCAAGUUCCCAUGUGUCCUCUAUGUAACCAUAAUAUGUGUCAUUUCCCAUCUUGGUUGCUGCAUCAAAGCAGACACCACUGUUUUGGUUGGUUCUCUUCUUAUCUUGGGCGAUCGUGUAAAAUGUAUUCCCAUUUAUCUCGUACCCUUUGAAAGUCAUUAUAUUCGAAGAUGGUAACUUGGACAGCAAGUACAGGUCAUCUUCAAUAGCGGCGUCAUGCAUGGCACGUGUCUGCAACCAACCGGCGAAAGUCCCCGUUUGUUCACGUAUAAUCCAGUCGUCAGACUAUUUCGGGUGUUUGGAGCGUAGAAAAUUCUUGUUUUCCUCCAUAUACGGAGCCACCAAGGCAGAAUUCUAUAGAACUGUGUAAUGUGCUUGAGUGAGAGAAUGCUCGUCCAUACAUAUUAUUUGAUUCCCUCCUAGCGUGCCUUUUCCACCUAGUCCGCCCUUAUGUCGCGAUUCAGGAACACCAAUCGGCUUAAAGUCAGGAAUAAAGUCAAUACAAAACUCAAUGACCUCCUCAUUUUCAUGGCCCUUGGAGAUGCUUCCUUCUAUCCUAGCAUGGUUAUGAACAUAUUUCUUUAAGACUCCCAUGAACCUCACAAAGGGGAACAUAUUGUGUAGAAAUACAGGACCAAGAACAUUAAUCUCUUUGCAUAGGUGAACUAGGACGUGCGUCAUGAUGUUGAAGAAGGAUGGUGGGAACACCAACUCGAAAUUGACAAGACAUUGCACCAAAUCAUUCUCUAACCUUGGUACGAUUUCUGGAUCGAUUACCUUCUGAGGGAUUGCAUUGAGGAAUGCACAUAGCUUCACAAUGGCUAAUCGAACGUUUUCCGGUAGAAGCCCCCUCAAUGCAACCGAAAGCAGUUGUGUCAUAAUCACGUGGCAGUCAUGAGACUUUAGGUUCUGGAAAUUUUUCUCUGCCAUAUUUAUUAUUCCCUUUAUAUUCGACGAGAAGCCAAAUGGUACCUUCAUACUGAGCAGGCAUUCAAAGAAGAUUUCCUUCUCUUCUUUGGUAAGAGCGUAGCUGGCAUGACCCUGAUGUAUGCCGUCUUUUCCGUGCAUAUGUUGAUGGUCCUCCCGUGCCUCCGGUGUAUGUUUUGUCUUCCCAUACACACCCAAGAAGCCAAGCAGGGUCACGCAAAGAUUCUUCGUCAUGUGCAUCACGUUGAUUGCAGAGCGGACCUCUAGGUCUUUCCAAUAAAGCAGGUCCCAAAAUAUAGAUUUCUUCUUCCACAUGGGUGUGCGUCUGUCCGGAACAUGUUGUCCGCCAAGACCCUUUCCAAAGAUUACCUUCAAAUCCUUGACCAUAUCAUGUACAUCAGCACCAGUAUGGUGGCGAGGCUUCAUCCGGUGAUCCGCCUCACCUUUGAAAUGCUUGCCUUUCUUUCUUACAGGAUGCCUGCUCGAAAGAAAUCGAUGAUGUCCCAUGUACACAUUCUUCUUACAAUUAUUCAAAUAUAUAAUGUCGGUGUCAUCCAAAAAGUGCAUGCAUGCGCGGUAUCCCUUGUUUGUCUGUCCUGAAAGGUUAUUGAGAGCAGGCCAAUCAUUGAUGGUCAUGAACAGCAACGCCUUUAGGUCAAAUUCUUCCCCCAUGUGCUCAUCCCACGCACGUACACCUUUUCCAUUCCACAGCUGUAAGAGUUCUUCAACUAAUGUCCUUAGGUACACAUCAAUGUCGUUGUCGGGUUGCUUAGGGCCUUAGAUGAGCAUUGGCAUCAUAAUGAACUUCCGCUUCAUGCACAACCAAGGAGGAAGGUUAUACAAACAUAGAGUCACAGGCCACGUGCUAUGGUUGCUGCUCUGCUCCCCAAAAGGAUUAAUGCCAUCUGCGCUUAGACCAAACCAUACGUUCCUUGUGUCACCUGCAAAGUCCUCCCUGUACUUUCUCUCAAUUUUUCUCCACUGCGACCCGUCAGCGGGUACUCUCAACUUCCCGCCUUUCUUACGGUCUUCUCUAUGCCAUCGCAUCGCCUUGGCAUGCUCUUUGUUUUGGAACAAACGUUUCAACCGUGGUAUUAUAGGAGCAUACCACAUCACCUUGGCAAGAAUCUUCUUCUUGGAGCGGUCGCCCUCGACAUGACCUGGGUCAUCGCGGGUGAUCUUAUAGCUCAAUGCACCACAUACCGGGCACGCGUUCAAAUCCACGUACUCACCACGGUAGAGGAUGCAGUCAUUAGGGAUGCAUGUAUCUUCUGCACCUCUAACCCUAGAGGGCAGACAACCUUCUUUACUUCAUACAUACUCUCAGACAAUUCGUUGUCCUUUGGAAGCAUCUUCUUUAACAUUACCAGCAACUUUCCAAAUCCCUUGUCAGAUACUCAAUUCUCUGCCUUCCAUUGCAGCAAUUCCAGUGUGGUGCCUAGCUUUUUCGUGUCAGCUUCGCAAUUCAGGUACAAAAAUUCCUUGUGAUCCUCUAACAUGCGCUGCAACUUCUUCUUCUCCUUUUCACUUGUGCAGUUUCUCUCUGCAUCGGCAAUGGCCCGACCUAGAUCAUCAGCUGGCUCAUCUGAUGCCUCUUCUUCAGCUUCUUCCUACAUUGCCGGCUCAGAUUCUUCCCGCAUUGCCGGCUCAACUUCUUCUCCCAUUGUUGUAUCAUCGUAUUCAUGGAACCCAUGGCCAGGAUAGCUAUCAUCGUCCUCUUCUUCUUCAUUGUCUUUCGUCAUAACCCAUCUUUCUCCGUGCUUGGUCCAAACAUUAUAGAGGGGCAUGAAACCGGACUUAAACAGGUGGAUGUGAAUGGUUUUUAACUUAGAGUAAUUCUGACCAUUCUUACUGCCAGCACAUGGACAAGGCAUAAAACCAUCCGCCCGCUUGUUUGCCUCAGUCGCAAGCAGAAAAGUAUGCACGCCAUCAACAAAAUGUGAAGAGCAUCGGUCAUCAUACAUCCAUUGCCGGCUCAUCUUCAUUACAUAGCACCGAAAAGACCAAAUUAAUACAAGUUCAUACAUAAAGUUCAUACAACACUUAUUCUCAUAAAACAAACAUACAAAUAACUCUCUAGCUGAAGCAUUUAAAUGCAACAACAAAUGCGAUCAAGACCACAACUAAGGUAACAAUUGAUCCAACAACAUAAUGAUACCAAGCCUCACUAUCAAUGGCAUAUUUUUUAAUCUUUCUAAUCUUCAAGAGCAUUUUCUCCAUCUUGAUCUUGUGAUCAUCGACGACAUCGGCAACAUGCAACUCCAAUUCCAUCUUCUCCCCCUCAAUUCUUUUCAAAAAAAUCAAAUACUCAUUUUCUCUUUCAACUAAAUUUAACCUCUCGACAAUAGGGUCGGUUGGAAUUUCCGGUUCACAUACCUCCUAGAUAAAAAUAUCUAUGUCAACUUGAUGGGAAUAAUUUGUCAUAAACACGAAAUGCAACAAAUAGUUAUAAAAAAAAUAUGCCACAUCCGAAUCAUAACCCGGACGAGGGCCAACGGGGACGGAUAUCAAAACCAUGGCACUAUGAAUAACAAAUAAUGUACAAGUAAGAUAAUUAUACAAGUAAUUAUAUAUCUAAAUCACACAAACAUGAUUUUUUUUAUAUGAAAAAUAUAAGAACAAGAGGCUCACCACAAGGUGGUGCGGUGACGGGACAGUGCGACGAUCGACGGUGGUUAGGACAGAGACGGGAGGCACUAAGUAAACCACACAUACAUAUGCAAACUAAGAGUUAUUUUUUAGCUCAAAUUGCAUAUAAAUCAAAUAAACUAUCACAUAUAAUUCCUUUCAAAUUACUAAAACCCACAAAUUAAUCACUAUAUAAAGCAUUUCAAGAUCUAAGCUAGCAAUGAGAGAUGAAAGGACAGAGUUGCUUACCUUUGUGAUCACUUGAAUGGAUGGGGGGCCUCCAAAUCUUGACAAAAUUUGGGUAAAAUGUGUGAUGAGCUUGAGGAAGAGGGGAAGAACAGAGAGGAGAGGGGAAAGGGGAAAAACAGAGCGAGCUCGGGUGGACGAGGGGUUUAUAUAUAGGACGACCUUUAGUAUCGGUUUGUGGCACAAACCGAUACUAAAGGUGCUGGAGGGGCCCCAGUCUGACAACAUCCUGCCGCCACUCUCUUUAGCACUGGUUCGUGACACGAACCAAUGCUAAAGGUUCGCAACGAACCAGUACUAAUGAGAGCGGCCCGCCUAGCCGUUAGAACCGACACUAAUGGUUACAUUAGUGCCGGCUCAAAUACAAACCAGGACUAAUGAGCUGAACAUCAGGCCCUUUUUCUACUAGUGCUUUUAUAUAAAUCAAUAAUGUAUGGUUGUGUGCGCCUUCUUUAUCCACCUUGACAAUAGCCUGCCGCAAUUGUUUCUUAAGGUCCCGCGCCAUUUACAAUCAUUUGGAUAUCGAGUAAAAGAACUUAAUCAAAUGUAGAAUUUGGAGUGCAUUUUACACAUUGUAUUAGUAAUAUAUGAUUGCCCGCAAAAAGAAGGUAGUAUAAGAUAGAGAGAUGUCACCAAGAUAGAGACACCGCCGUUGGUCCGCCUUGUCUCUGGUGGCUCUAGGGUCAAGGGGGCGCGGUGAAUCCUGACAAGGGUUGGGCGAAGGGCUCCAUUGUUACUCGUUUCUUUGAGAUUUGUUAGGGUUUGUGCCCUGCUCAGGAAAGGCGAGACGGCGACGGCUCCCUGAAGAUGGAAUAAAUGUCUUCCCGCCUAGCCCCUGUUUCGAUGGUGCGUCUAGCAUCGUUGGUGGGCGUGUGGGGGUGUGUCUCCGGCGGAUCUAUUCUCGGUGGAUUUGCUAGGAUCUGGCUGUUGUUCAUCUAUGUUUGUGUGCCUUCGGUUUGGAUCCUUUCGAUCUAUGUUAUUCUUCAUCCGCUGCGGUUGUUGUUCUGAUGCGCUGGUCCUAUGAGGCCUUGGCACGACGACUUCCCGACUGUCUACUACAAUAAGUUGUGCCCGACUCCGGCGAGGAAGGGGUGAUGAUGGCGGUGCGUCUUCGGCUCGCUUCAGUGCUUGUAGUCGUCGCUAAGUGGUCUACGGAUCUGGAUGUAAUUUUUAUUAUUUUUUGUGUUCGUUGUACUGUCAUGAUUGAAGACGAAUAGAUCAGGAGUUUUCUAAAAGAAAAGAUAGAGAGAUGUCACGCGCAAAAAAAAUGACGGAGAAAUGCAUAGUGAGCUUAUUAUUAGGAGCAAAGCAACUUACUGUGUAGAACAACACGCAAACAUAUGAAUCCAAACAUACGUAUCCACCUAAUAAUAUGUAACCGACCCGAUCACGAUCAGUCUCAGUCUGCAUUGUUUUGCAUGCGUAGGCGAUCGCGUAAAGGACAAAGGCGCGCCUGCAGGUAUCAUAUUCCUCUCCAUGCGCUGCCUGCUUUUUUCACAAAUAUAAAGAUGGCCUGACUAGCCGCAUCGUACUCCCUUGGCGUGCUUCAUCAAAGAGUAAAGUGCUCUCUCUUUCUCUCUCGUACGUACACAAUAAUCUUGAUGGAGAGGCCGGAAUCUCUAUUAAAAAAAUCAUAUUCAAAACAAGAAACACUAGUCUCAUGUUGACAUUAGGAAAAAUGAAGUUAAGACAAGUGAAUAACUUACUAGUGCUCCAAAUUUAUCACCAAUGCAAGCAAAAGAAUAUCUUGUUGUGAGAAAAAUAAAGUAGAGAGACAUACAGAAAUUACGUAAAUGCACUGGAUAUUCUUUUGCACUGGAUACUUCUCGUCCUAUUAAAAAUGUCAAAUGUAUCGGUAAUAAAAUAAAGGCUUAACUUUUGACUGGGAGACACGCCAAGACGAAAUAUUUUUGACCGUGAGGAGAGGCAGAAUCAUCUGAGCCAAAUGCAUAACUUCCUGCUUAAGGUCAAAUGAUCUCGGAUAAAAUCCUACAUAUAAUAAUGUCGAGAUCCCCCAAAUCACCAGUACCAGUUUCAGAAGGACCACCCAUGCAUGAACGCAAGAUUUGGCUGGCCGCUUUAUAAUGAAUGAAGUUAAGUACUCCCUCUGUAAAUAAAUACAAGAUGUUUUAGAUCCUUAAAGUAGUGAUCUAAAACGUCUUAUAAUUGUUUAUAGAGGGAGUAGCAUAUAUGUUCUAACUGAAUGGAAGAUUGUGGAAGAGAACUUGCACGUCGUUCUGCACAUAUCUAAAGUGCUUUACACAUGCUUACUCUCAAAAGAUUCAUCAAAUGCGGCCAGUUUAAAGAAAGGGUAAGAAAGCUAUGUAGACGGAUAUCGAAGAUCUCGUAGAGGAUAAUCAGAGAUCAAUUAAGCUGGCCUAUACCUACUUUAUUUUUUCGAUGUAGCUGGCACGUAUCUAAUGUGUGCUGCAUGCAUGCAUGGACCCCGUCAGGAAGUGCACGCAUGAUUUGUUUUGAAGAACUUAAAGCACUUUCUAGAAUCCAUCUAAGCAAGCACAUGUGCGCCAACAUGUGUGCCAUCUGCCCAUGAAACUAUUUUAGGUCAAAAGAGAGAGGCAAAAAAAAACAGAAAUUCAUCUGGGAUUGCAAACCACGAGAUGAGCAACGGUAUGACUCCAUACGUUCGUACCUGAGCCCCUACAAGAUCCAGCAUGAAGAGAAGAAAAAAUCAUAACAGAAGAAGAGCAAUGGUAUGAGCGCUCUUUCUUGUGAUGCACGCGCAUAUAUACCGGAUUUAAUGGCUAGAUAUUCUAUUGGAUAGCCAAUUAUUAGGCCCCGUCUGAAGGGUUUGUUGUAAGCGGUAAUUUUUUCUUAAGUGGAUGGCAUAAAAUUUGUCAACCCCCAAGAAACAAAUGAGUUUGGUAUCUCUUUGUGUACCAACUACAAAAUAAGAUGCAAGAUAUAUUAUGUUGUCAACUGGCUUAGUGCAGUUGUCAACUGCACUAAUAGUUAUGUUACGCAAGAUGUUAAUGAAUAAUCAUAAAAGAAAUAAUUAUAUAUUGUCGGAUUAAAAAAGAAGCAAAUCCACAGGGACAAGUGAAUUGUUACGCAAGAUGUUCAUAGGUUCGCUAGUAAUAUCUCUCAUAAGUGGUGGCAUAGAAUAAUAAAUGUAGUUAGGGUUCUAAAUGUUUCCAAACAUGCACAUAGUCAUAAACCAAUGACAUAUAUAUAUAAAGGCUGCUCGUAAUGGGGAGUAUCAUAUACUAGUAUCAUGCGUAUGACCAUUAAUAGUGUAUGCUACUAUUUUUGUAAUGCAUUUAUAACGCGGUGUUUUGGCUCCUAGGUGCAUAUGCAACCAUUGUCUAAAUACACAUUUUGAAAAGUUGAAAAAAUCGGAACAAAAAUCCUGCGGGUAUAUCUGGACAUUCUAUGUGCAUGCACAAAGUUUCGGUGAAAAAUGACGUUUUUUGUGGCUUCUGUAAAAAAGAUAAAGAAAUGCAAAAUGAAUAGUUAGUAUCUUAUAUUGUUCAAAAUGUGUAUUUAGACAAUGGGAAUAAUUGAGUGAAAAAAGGAGCAAAGAAUGACAAAAGACGAGACUUUACUAGUCUUCACUCUUGUGGUUUCCUCUUCCUCGGUUUCUGUUUUCUUAUUCGGGAUCUUUCUUUUCAUGGUUCUCAUCUCUGCAACACGCGAUUUUCAUGGGAGAACCAAAUCCAAGUUGGUGAAUAUCAUGAUUUGGGCUGGCAUGGUAUUGAGAUCGUUUGAUUGAUUUCCUUGAUUUGAUCGCUACUUAAUGGGUGUGCGCUCAAAGAAUACAAACAGAGAUUCACAAACAAAAAGGGGAAUUCGUAGUCACUUUUUCGCAUAUGCACGCACCGUAUUAUAAGUUAGUAUAUCUUAUAUUGCAUAAUUAAUUGCCAUGCAUAGCACAAAAUAGUACAACAUUUAAUAUGAUACCACAUCUUAUCUUUCCUCAUUUAAUUGUGUACCAUAUCAUUAACAAAGCCUAGUUGGCAUGCAUGGUAAUACGGGCAACCUAAGUACACAUAAAAAGUCCUAGGUUUAUCUUUCUUUGUUUAAUUUUGGCCCCACCAACUCAUCGUUGAUGCAAGGAGAGGAUGUCAGUUUGUGUGUGAGGCCCUUCCCAAUGCUCCACGGUGUACAGGUGCUAAGGAUGCCACAUAGGCAGAAAUAUGAUGUGGCAAAGCAUUUAAAGAGGAGAGAGAGCAUUAUGGUGACCCCAAUAAGAACCAAUGCUAAGCACAUGAACCUAGGCAAAAAGACUAGCAACCAAUACAUGAAGAAGUUUUAUUGCUAAACAAUUAAAUAGAGGAGGCUUAGCUACAAAACCUAAGCACCAGUGCAUUGGGGACAUUAGUUGCUAAGCAUUUUAAUGCACUUAGCACCCCACUUUAGCACCAAUGCAUUGGGAGAGGUCUGAGUCUUCUACAGUAUAGCUAUUGGGUGAUAUCUAGGUCACCACCAUUGGGCCAUCAGGUGGUCCCGUGGUUUGAGAGUCUACCAUGAUUUAGAGGUGGGAUUCCUUUGACCCACUGAAAUCGACUAGACGCUUAUAUUCUUCUAUACCUUGUUGGGCCCCAAAGCAGAGAGGAUUAUAGGACAGUGAUAAUUUCCCUUAAAUGGAUAGCCUAAGAUUACUAAUCAGUGGGAAGUGUAAGUUGAAAGUAUGCUCCUCCGAAGCAAAACCUACAAUCAACAGUACAAAAAUAGUUACAGUAGGCCACGUUUUCUGUCACCCCUGUACACCCAUGAUGGUUUAAUGUUAGAAUCAAGAUAGUCAUACAUGUGCUGGCAUAGAUGUGUUCCAUGACAAUAAUCACUUUUUCAUCAUGCAAGUGUCCACUUCCAUAAUGAUAAAUGGCGCAUCAUGGAAGUGUUUUCGUCGAGAUUAACCGACAGGUGGCAUCUACUGUAACUAGUCAUUGUUUAGCUAUUGAGUGCGGGUUCCGGAUCCGAUACCCGUUAACAGCCCUGACCAAGGUAAACUUGAAGUUAGAAACGAUGGUAAAGAUGGAAAACAUCAUCUCUGUAGAUGGAAAACGAGGUAGAUGUCUAAGUGAUGGCAAACUCAUGGAGUAAUCAUUUUCGGAAGUAGAAACGAUGGUAAAGAUGGAAAACUUCAUCUUCAUAGAUGGAAAAUGAGGUCGUUGUCUAAGCGAUGGCAAACUCAUGGAGUAAGCAUUUUAGGAAGUAGAAAAGUACAGUAAAGAUGGAAAACAUUGUCUCUGUAGACGAAAAAGGAGGAAGAUGUCUAGGUGAUGGAAAACUGGUGGAGUAAGCAUUUUAGGAAUUAAAAUUGAUGGUGGAGAUGGAAAACAUCAUAUCCUUCAAUAGAAAACGAGGUAGAUAUCUAAGUGAUGGCAAACUCAUGGAGUAAGCAUUAGGAAGUAGAAAUGAUGUUAAAGAUGGAAAAUAUCAUCUCUGUAGAUGGAAAACGGGGUAGCUAGAUGUCUAAGUGAUGGAACACUCGUGGAGUGAGCAUUUUAGGAAGUCCAAACGAUGGUAGAUGGAAAACAUCGUCUCUGUAGACGGAAAUGAGGUAGAUGUCUAAGUGAUGGCAAACUCAUGGAGUAAGCAUUUAAGAAAGUAGAAACGGUGGUAAAGAUGGAAAAAAUGUCUCCCUAGAUGGAAAAUGAGGUAGAUGUCUAGGUGAUGGAAAACUCAUGGACUAGGCAUUUUAGGAACUCCGGAGACAUGGAUAACAUGUUGGAUGCAAUCAUAUCAGCACUAAAGCGUCGGAUCCCAUCAUAACUCUGAAGCUAAACGUGCUUGGGCGAGAGUAGUACGAGAAUGGGUGACCUCCUGGGUAGUCAUCAUGUUGCAUUCCCUUUUUACAUUUUUUUCGUCUCUUGGCAUGGGAACGUAGCUGCGCGAUGUAUUUUCAACCUAUUUAGUAAUUUUCCCAUGUGCGUCAUGCGUGAGAAUGUGGGAACACAGAAACAGAGUUGGUGCUGGCGGCUACCAAACUCGCGGCAGAGACCUCACUGGAGAAGAUCUUCGACGCGCACUCAAUGCGCCCAUGUGUGCGUUGGGUGCACUAUGAGAAUCCACAUCCCCGACAUCCUAACUUGACGUCUGCUACUUGUAAACUGCGUUGGGAUUUUUCUCGAAGAGGAGGGGGUGAAGCAGUACAGUAGAGAUAAGUAUUUCCCUCAGUGAGAACCAAGAUUAUCGAACCAAUAGGAGAACCAAGCAAACCAUCUUUAGCAGCACCUACACACACAAAAGCAAGUACUUGCACCCAACGCUGGUGAGAGGAUUGCCAAUCCCCUUGAACUCGUUACUUGCAAGGAUUAAUUCUGGUGGUGAUAGAUAGAUAAAUAAAGUAAAUAAAUUACAGCAAAGUAUUUUUGGUUUUAAUAAUGUAGUAAAAGUAGACCCGGGGGCCAUAGUUUUCACUAGAGACUUCUCUCUCGAACACAUAGCAUACAGUGGGUGAAAAAAUUACUGAUGGGCAAUUGAUAGAAAAGCGCAUAGUUAUGACGUAUUCAUGGCAAUGAUCAUGUAUAUAGACAUCACGUCCAUGACAAGUAGACCAAUUCCUGCAUGCAUCUACUAAUAUUACUCCAUCAAUCGACCGCUAUCCAGCAUGCAUCUAUGGUAUUAAGUUCAAGACAAAUAGAGUAACGCUUUAAGCAAGAUGACAUGAUGUAGACAAAGUAAAAAAACCAAACAGUAUGAAUAAACCCCGUCGUUUUACCCUUAAUGGCAACAACAAAAUACGUGCCUCGCUACCUCUACUAUCACCGGGUGAGGACACCGGAAGAUUGAACCCAUUACAAAGCACCUCCCUCAUUGAAGAUAAAUCAAUCUUGUUGGCCAACCAAACGGAUAGAUCGGAGAGAAAUACAAAGCUAUGACAAUCAUGCAUAAUAAAGUUCAGAAAAGACUCAAGAAUAAUUUGAUCAUAAAUCACAAUUCAUCGUACCCCAACAAACACACCACAAAAGAAUUGGAUAGAAUUCCAAGAAGAUCGAGCAGAACAUUGUAUUGAAGAUUAAAGAGAGAGAGAUAAGAAGCCAUCUAACUACUAGCUAUGGACUCGUAGGUCUGUCAUGAACUACUCACGCAUCAUCAGAAGGCAGCAAGUAUGAUGCAGAAGCCCUCCGUGAUCGAUUCCCCAUCCGGUAGAUUACCGAAAAAGGCCUCCAGAUGGGAUCGUGGAAGAACAGAAACUUGCGAUGGUGGGAAAAAUGUUUCGGGUGGCUCUCUGGGGUUUCCCAAUACUUGAGAAUUUAUAGAAAUGGAAUUAGGUUAGACAGAGCCACGUGGGGCCCACAAAGUAACAGGGCGUGCCCUGUUGCCUUGCCGUCUCCUCGCUUCGCGCCUGGUCUCCUCCAGAAGUUUCUAGGGUCUCUUAUGUCUAGAAAAAAAUCAUCAAAAAGUUUUGUAGCGUUUGGAUUUCGUUUGGUACUAAUUUUUUGGAAACCAAAAACAAGCAUAAAACAGUAACUUGCACUAGACACUGGGUUAAUAGGUUAGUUCCCAAAAAUGAUAUAAAAUAGCAUAUAAAUGCAUAUAAAGUAUCCAAGAUUGAUAAUAUAAUAGCAUGAAACAAUCAUAAAUUAUAGAUACAUUGGAGACGUAUCAGCAUCCUAAACUUAAUUCCUACUCGUCCUCGAGCAGGUAAAUGAUAAAAACAGAAUUUUUGAUGUAAAAUGUUAUCUAACAUGUGUAUCAUGUAGUAUCAUGUAAUCUCUUUACGGUAUAAUCAUUGAGAAAUGAUGAAGUAACAAUAUAAACAUAAUAAUAUCCAUGAAUAUAAGAAACAUAAUCAUUACUUUUUCAAAAUAUAUUAUCCCACUCAUUUUUAUCAUGUUAGCAUGGCAUGACUCCGCCUUCACCGCAUAAAUAUAAAUCAUGAGCACCCUAGUGUCAAACCAGAUAAUUGGAUCGUACUUCUAACGCUUUUGGCAUUUUUAACCCCACGCAAUACAUGAGUGUGAGUCAUGAAUAUAGCACUAUAGGUGGAAUAGAAUGCGGCGAUAGAGAUCAAUAAGGGAGUCGAAAAAAAGAAAGUCUCGCAUCGAUGUGGCUAAUCAACGGGCUAUGAAGAUGUCCUUCAAUCGAUGUCGAAGCAAAAAACCAAUUAUAAAGAUGUGUAUUUAGUAUCUAGUCAACCAACUAGUUAGGAUCUAAUUUAGACGCUAUAGAUUUGGAAGUAGUUAUUUCUCUCCUUCCAGUUUAUUCAACAAAUAGAAAAGGCAAUAGUCUCAAACUAAAAUUCAUGCAAACUUUAGACAUGGGGACGGGUUAACCAAAGGCAACACAGACAAAUUUUUCAUGUUUCCCAAGAUUUAGAAAAUUAUGUAUAAAUCUGGAUGAAUACACAUUUGAUAUAAAAACUCCACCAAAAGGUCAUAUGGACUUAUUAAAAACAACAAUAAAGUGCAUUAGUCAGAAUAAAUAGUUUAUCUGUCAAAUAUACUAGUGUCUUCUUUACCAAUGGCUAGUAGUAGGCAAUUGCAAUUCAGUCAGAAGUGAGGUAACUGAGUUGCAACAUGGGGAGGGGGUGGAGUAAUCUUUUAUCCCUUGAACCAUCAGGCAUCGGAAAAUGUUCCGGGAAGACAACAAGACAUCUUUUAUCCCUUGAACCAUCAGUUGUCUCUCGCCGUUUUUCCUGACGCCAUCGGACCGACUUGAGAAAAAAAAGGGAGACCGAAGGAAGAGAUGGGUACGGGGAAGGAACGAGGUUGAGAGGGACACACCAGCUUCAUGCGCGCCACCGCCGAUCCCUCGCUUCGUUCUGUUCAUGAGGAGUUUUUUAGAAGAUGUUCAUGGGUGUCACUUUAGUGCGCUGAGCAGUGGAGUCUAGAAGCGGCACAUGUUAUUCCCUAAUGGGCUGGCCCGUAAAGUCAAGCGAACGAGAGGCUGACUAUGUUGGCCCACAUGCUCACACAACCCGAACGAAGAACAGAGUGGGUGCUCCUAUACGGCGCUUCAGGUGCCCAUUUGGGGAGUGCCACUAACACAACCGCGGACUUGGGCCGGCCCAAUGCGGGUGCUCGCUCGCUCGGCACGUCGCUUGUUCGAGCGCCCCAACAUCUCGUUGUAAGUGAGGCAGAGGGAAGCCUCGCCUCAGGGGAGCUCCAGAUGGGACGGCCCAGCUAUGCGGGCGGCUAAAGCCUGCUUUUUCUAUCUUCUAAUGUUUUUGUUUUCUUUUUUCUUUUUGCUUUAUUUUAUCCUUUAUUUUAUACUUUAAAAUAUUCUGUUGACCAAGCUUAAUUUUACAAAUGUUUAAUAUUCUGUUGACCAAGCUUAAUAUUUUUUCUAUAUAUAUUACAAAAAACAUUUGAAAAACUGUUGACCAAGCAUUUGAAAAAUGUUAAAUGUUUAUAGAGAAAAAAUUAUCACGUGUACGAAAAUGUAUAAAAAAUGAUCAUGUAUUCAAAAAAAAUGUUAAUCAAGUAUCCGAAAAAUAUUUGAACAAGUAUUUGAAAAUGUUAAUCAAGCAUUUGAAAAAGUUAAAUGUAUAUAGAAAAAUAUUGACCAUGUAUUGAAAAAAGAUGAUUUUUUAUCAUGUAUAUAAAAAAAGUUAAUCAAGCAUUUCAAAAAAUGUUGAACAAGUAUGUGAAAAAUGUUAAUCAAACAUUUGAAAAUAUUAAAUUUAUAUACAAAAAAUGUUGACCAUGUAUUCAAAAAUGAAGAAAUUUCUAUACCAUGUAUAUAAAAAUGUUACUCAUGCAUUACCAUGUAUAUAGAAAUUUAAUCAAGCACUUCAAAAAAUGUUGAACAAUAUUUGAAAAGUGUUAAUCAAGCAUUUGGAAAAUGUUAAAUGUCUAUAGAAAAAAUGUUGACCAUAUAUUAAAAAAUGAUGAAGUUUUUUAUCAUGUGUAUAAAAAUGUUAAUCAAACAUUUGAAAAUAAUGCUGAACAAGUAUUUGAAAAAAGUUAAUCAAGCAUUCGGAAAAUGUUCAAUGUGUAUAUAAAUAAUGUUGACUAUGUAUAAAAAUAUUAUCAAGCAUUUGAGAAAACGUUGAACAAGUAUUUGAAUUUUUUUAAUCAGACACUUGGAAAAUAUUGAAUGCUUAUGGGAAAAUAUUAACCAUGUAUUAAAGAAAUGUGAAACUUAUAUUAUGAAAAAUGUUAAUCAAAAAUUUCAAAAAAAAUAUGUCUAGAAAAAAUGUUGACCAUGUAUUCAAAAAAUGUUAAUCUGUUGUUUGAAGAAAAUCGAUGAAAAACAAGAGAGAAAGAAACAAAACCGAAGAAAAAUAAAGAAAAGGAAAAGACAAUGAAAGCCGAGAAAGAUAUAAAGAAAUCAUAAGAAAAACAAUGAAAAAGGAAGGAAAGAAAAUAGUAAUAAAAUUUGAGAAAAGUCGAUGAAAAAAAACAGAAAAAAUCUAAUAAAAAACCAGCUCUUUUUGCCUCAAGAAGGACACGGCUAAUAAACUUAGCACGAACGCAAUGUUAGCCGAGUGGCUAUGGGGGGAUGCCCCCCACGUGGUAUUGGGCGGCCCAUUCACGCGCGCAUAGUAGUAAGUAAAAGGAGCAAAGGAAUAGGGAGAAGCAGGGAGCAAUUAGUGACGAGCGCUUUUUCAGGAGCCUCGCAACAAUCACUUGUAGGUGGGCAGAGAGUACGUCACCUGGCACGGUCUCAGCCGCCGCCAUGUGUCGCGCUCUGGGCGCUCCCUUCGGGCUUUUUCUUUUAAUUUUUUCACACGCGUUUUCAGCCUUUUAAGCGGGUUUUUGGGGGGUUUUCAGUUUUCCACUAGUCUUCUUUAGCUUUUGGACCAAAAAAAUUGUGAAAAACCCGGUUUAUUUUUGCUUUGAGGCACGGUUUUGCUUUCGCGAGAGACACGGUUUUGGUUCUGUGAGAGGCACGGUUUUGCUAUCGCGAGAGGCACAGCAGUGCCUCUCAGAAACGAAGAAAACGUGUUCUCUGUUUUUUUUCUGAGAGGGGCACGGUUUUGCUGCUGAGAGAGGCACGGUUGUGCUUUCGCGAGAGGCACGGCCGUGCCUCUCGGAAACGGAAAAAAGGACGCAUUUUCUAUAAAAAAAAUCUUCCACGAGGCACGGUUUUGCUUCGGCGAGAAGCACCGUUGUGCUUUCACGAGAUACACGGCGGUGCCUCUCGAAAAAUGAAAAAAAUAAUAGCCUUCCACGAGAGGCACGGUUUUGCUUCCGCGAGAGGCAUGGUUGUGCUUUCGCGAAAGGCACGGCCGUGACUCUUUCGGAAAGGGAAAAACCAUGCUCCCAGUUUAGUUUUUUGUCUGGUUUUUUCAUGAAAAAAAAGUCUGUCAAAACCUAUCAACAUGGUAUCUAAUUUUAAAAAUCUCGAUGUGAGGAAUCCAACGAUGAAAACAGUUCAAGAUUUGGAUGCACGGUUUAAGAAAUAAAACGUUUUAAAUAAACGCAUCUAUGAAAAAAGGAAAACAGCCACAGGUUGCGACAAGUGGCGCAUAUGCAACGCGCCACUUAACAACCUAAGAAGGUGAUGGUGAUCUUUGAGUGUUCCUCGAUUAGUGAUUUCGGGAGAAGCAGGAAAUUGAUCCCUGGUCCCGAGGGAGAUCACGGGCGCUACUAUCCAAUCCACCCCAUGUCGUAUUGGGCCGGCCCAUUCAUGCGCGCAUAAUAUUAGCACAAACGCAAUGUUAGCCGAGUGGCUGCCCCCAACUUCGUGUUUUAAUUUUCUUUUCUCUUUUGUUAAUUUUGUUUCUCACUUUUCUUUGUUCUUUUGGUUAUUAUUCUACAAUUCUUGUAUAUGUCAACAACAUUUUUCUAAUACAUGUGUAAUAUUUUUCCAAUACAAAUUAAUAAAUUUUUGUAACACAUGGUCAAUAUUUUUUCUAUACACAUUUUUCAAAUUCUUGAUUAAAAUGUAUCAAAUAGAGAAUUAAUAAUUUUAUAUAAAUUUUUAACAUUUUUAAAUAUUUGAUUAAUUCUUUCCAAAUGAAAAGAAUAUAUAUUUUUAAUACAUGGUGAACAUUUUUUCUAUACACAUUUAACAUUUUUGAAAUAAUUGAUUAACAUUUUUCAAACACAUGUUCAACAUUUUUAAAAAUGCUAUAUUAACAUAUUUAUAUACAUGAUAUAAUUUUUUUCCUUAUUUUUAAAUACAGGGUAAACAUUUUUUGUAUACACAUUUAACAUUUUCCAAAUGCUUUACUAACAUUUUUCAAAUAAUUACUCAACAUUUUUAUAUACAUGAUCAUAUCUUUUCAUCAUUUUAUUAAUACAUGGCCAACAUUUCUUUUCUAUACGCAUUUAACAUUUCCCAAAUGCUCGAUUGACAUUUUUCAAAUACUUGGUCAACUUUUAAAAAAAAUGCUAGAUUAUCAUUUUUAUAUACAUGAUAAAAAAAGUUAUCAUUAUUUUAAUACAUUAUCUAUAAUUUUUCUAUACACAUUCAACAUUUUUACGAAUGUUUGAUUAACAUUUGCCAAAUACUUGUUCAACAUUUUUAAAAUAUUUAAAUAAACUAAAUCAGAAAACAAAUGGAAAAAAACAAAAAAUAGAGGUUGUGGCCGGCCGUGCGUGUGGGCUGAAGCGAGAUAUAGGUGUACCCGUCGUUCCAUGGGUUCACUCGUGACUGGUCGUGGUUGAUCGGUGAAUGGUUGACUUCUGAAAAAAAACCAAAAAAUCGGCCAAAAUCGAAAUAAAAUAUAAAUUCAAAAAUUCUCAUGGAUUUUUAAAAAAGUUUACAUACUCCAAAAGGUUCAAAAAUUAUGAAAAAUAUUAUUGAUUUAAAAAUUCAUCAAAUUUGAAAAAAAAGUUCAUCAGUUUUUUGAAAAAUAUCGUCAAAUUUGAAAAAAAUCGUCAAUAAAUAUUAUAAAUUCAUUUAUUUGGAUAAAUAGUUUAUUGAAUUUGAAAAAAAAUUCAUCAAAUUUCUAAAAAAUUCAUCAAAAAGUGAAACAAUUUCAUCAAAUUCAACGAAAAAAAAGAACCAGAAAAAAGAAAAAAAGAAAAAGGAAGAAGAAGAAGAAGUAGAAGAAGAAGAAGAAGAAAAAGGAAAGAAGAAAAGAAUAAGAACACGAAUGGAAAAAGAAUAACAGGCACAAACCGUUGAUUGGCGUAGCGGCCACUGUUGUUCUCACUUAGCUGAGAGAGAUCUUCUGUUCGAAUCCAUUGAGCGCACACCCUUUUUUGGUUUAAACAGAGAGAAAAAAGAAGCAAAACAGGUCGGCCCAGCGUGCAGGCGGGGGUGUGCGCCUGAUUGCAGAAACACUACAAACGGGGGCCUGAAGCGCCUUUUAGGAAAUGUCGGAGAGAGUGGCGUUCCCAGGGAGCUUAGAGUUGUAGAGAAUAACUAUUAAGGAUUCUCUGUCAAAAUUGCGCACAAGUUGGUAAACAUUGAAGAACCAAAAAAAGAAACAUGAAGAAAAAUCAAACGGUAUCGGUCCAGGAGCGCCAGUGCGAAGGUCUCAGUGAGAGUCGCUUCCUUUUUGUUGUUCUGUUUUGCGGAAAAAUUUCGAUCUAUUCAUCAAUUGUCAUGACAGUACAAAAAAUAUCAAAAUCCCAAUCUAUUCAUCAACUGUCAUGACAGUACAAAAAAUAUCAGAAGUAAUAUAAAUUAUAUACUGACUGGUAGACCACCUAGCGACGACUAUAAUCACUAGAGCAAGCCGAAGACGCGUCACCUUCAGCACCCCUCCGUCAAUGGAGUCGGACAAACCUUGUUGUAGUAAACAAAUAGGAAGUCGUUAUGCUAAAACCCCAUAGGACCAGUGUAUCAGAACAACAACCAUCACCAAUGUAGAGAAGUGUAGAUCAGAAUUAUAAACCUAUAAACACAUGAACACAGACAAUGGAAGACUAGAUUCAUAGAGAUCCACCGAAGAUCAACACCGAUCAAAUCCCACGAGAUCCGCCACACAGACACACUUCCAUACACCCUUUGACAAUGCUAGAUGCAGCGCUGCGAUGAGGUUAGGUGAGAAGGACCUUAUUUCAUCUUCAGGGAGUCGCCGCCGCCUCGCCUUUCUGAAGAGGACACAAACCUUAAUCAACCUCAGAAGAACACCUAAAAAUAGAGUAGGAGUCCUCCCGCCGGCAAGGGUCGGGGUUCACCGCGCCUCCAAGGACCUAAGGCCACAGGAGAUGAGGCAGACCGGCGGUGGCUCCGACGGGAGGCAUGAGGUCCAUGUCGUCUGGGAGGCCUUUCUUGGGGACAAGGACAACUUUUCUGCUUUCAUCAUUCUAGACGAAGUCCUACGUUUUGUUGUGAUUUUUUUUAAAGCGUGAUUUGUUUUCAUUCAAAUUUGGCUCCAAAAUUGAAUUUUUUAAUCACCCUUGCUCUUAAAUCUGAAACAAGACUUCUAAGAAUUUUAUUUUGUUUCCUUUUAAAAUGAAAUCCAGCACCCUACUAGUACCUCGUAAUCACCGAACGGUGCCAACUUUCUCUUUUGACAACGUUUUGACCAAACCUCCCCGCUUCUCCAAGACGGGCCUACAAGUCUAUGACCGGGCUACUAGACGUGUGAUACAGUGCCAUCAUCCUAGGGCCGUAGAGUCCCAUCCCAUCAGAGCAGCAGAGACAAAGAAUGAGAGGGCAAAUCAGGGCAUCCUACAGGCCUUCCGUUCGGUGGCUCCACUUGCUUCUUCUCUCCCUCCUCCGCCUUCCCGUGGUAUCCAUGCUUGCUUCUUCAAGUUCCAGCAACACAUCAGCGUUGUGAGCCUUGAGUACUACUCCCUUCCGGCCUGCAUUGCAGUGAGUGAGUCCUUGGCUUUUGGUUGCUGCCUAGCCUUUGGUUUAUCUCCUUCCCUACAUGUGCAUUUUGCUUCUUUUCUUUCAGCCCUUUUGUUGGGGAAACUCUCAGAAUUUACCACAGGGAGAAGCUAUACAUGUUUCUUUCUUGUUAGAGAUCAGGUAAUUUGAUGGGUGCGUGCAGGGGCUAAGCAUUUAGGCGUUUGUAAUUUUGCUUGAUCUUUGGCUGGUCGUUUGUACAAACUCCCUGUAAUUUUGCUUGAUGUUCAUGGUACAAACUCCCAGUACUUAGGCGUUUGUACAAACUCACUGUACUCUGUUUCUUGAUUCCAUCUUAAUAUACCACAAGGCACAAGCAGUUGUCCUGCAUGAUUCGGAAAAAAGAAACUUAAUGAGUAGGUGCAGUGUAAAAAAUGCUGCAGAGGAUACCAAGAUUUUCUUUCUCUGCCAGUCAUAAUCUAUGUUUUUCUGCUUACAGGACAUAAGUAGGCGGCGAGAUGAGCAAUUCCUGUGAGUGCUGCAAGAGAUACUGGACUCAUUUGCAUGGAAAGGUCAAGUGUUUCUUCACGCACAUGGAUAGACACUCUAGGCAUAGCAUGGUAAGCUCAGUGGUGGGUUGCCUUGAUCAUUGAACCGGUAGCAAUAAGACAUGUUCUAAACUAACACUAGUAACAAUUAAAAAAAUUGCAGGUCAUACCAGAGAGAUUUGUGAACUAUUUCGCGUGGAAGCUGUCAGGAACCAUUGAACUAGAAGCCCCCAACGGCAAUGUGUACGAUGUUGGAAUUACUGAGCGUAGGAACAAAACAUUACUCAGAUCUGGGUGGGAGGCGUUUGUCGAUGCCAACCAUAUAGUAGAGAACGACUCAUUGAUGUUCCGAUACCGUGGAAGUUGUCGCUUCAAGGUUGUGGUCUUUGAUUCUAGUGGUUGUGAGAAAGUGGUGUCCUGUGCUCGCAUACUGACCAAUAUUAGUGAUCAAGAACCAAGCACAAAUUCUGCAGACAUUUCGACCAGUUUCAGUGAUGGUAAUACUCCUUCGUCAGCACGAGCACGAUCAGAUGAUUGCCAGAGUGGAAGCUCAGGCCACCGUAGAAAACGAGCAAAGAAAGAUGUGAUAUCUUAUCCUUCGGAGGGUUCGUCAGAUUAACUUUACAACUGACUUGUGACUAUUGAUCAUACCAUUUUGCUGCAGUUACCAACCCUUACUCAUGAAACUAUUUUACAGGAGAAGACAGUCCAGAUGAGCACAAGUCAUCUGAAUCCGAAGAUAUUGAACAUAUUCGAUUAACACCCGAGCAUGAUGAUACAGACCCCUGCAUGAUGCCAAUGGGUACCCGUCUAACGCAAGUGCAGGAGAAGAAAGUUCUAAAGAAAGUAGGAGCCAUUGCAUCCGAUCUGCACAUCUACGUCGCAGUCAUGACCAGGCGCAUUGUCCUCGUCUCCCUAGUAAGUCUAGUCUAGAAUAAUAUUCUUCUGAUUUUGGGUUGACGGUUAUUUUGUUUUGAGAGAAAUCAGUCCACAUAAGCAAAUAUGCUACUACCAAGUACCAACCAUAGUUGUUUCACAACAGCUGUUUCAGCAACAGUUCAUACUUGUUAUCUACUGCCACUCAUCUACAUAUUUGCAAGCUUGCAUUUUAUUCUAAUAUGUUCAGUAUUCUGCGUGUAUUUGAACAAACAGACCUUCGCCACACAAUACUCUGAAACGUACCUUCGGAAGGGGAGCCGGAGUUUGGUGCUUCAGGCUGAGGGGAAGAGCCAGCGAUGGCAUACUGAGUUGCACGACACCAAACGGACCCUGAGGAUAUGUCGAGGCUGGACUUCUUUUGCCAGAGACAACAACCUGCGGGAGAGGGACAUCUGCCUCUUCGAGCUAAUGAAAAACGAGGGGGAGCAGAAGAAGAUGAUGGUCUAUAUCAUUCGCCGUGAGCGUUGCUAGUUUCACGCUCUUGACAAGAGGCAGAGAGGUCUCUGCUCUUUGUGCUGGCAUUUUGUAUGUUGCUGAUGGGGCUCUUUGCUGCUUUUGUGAUCUGGAAGUAGAACUAUGGGCAUGGCCACUCUGGAAUGAGUAACAAACCUAUAUCUGCAUGGCAAACUAGAAACUUAGUUUUAAACAUAAACAGGUUGUGAUUUCUUUCUUCAGUGGCAGCCCUAUUUUGUGGCAUGAAUUUAAACUAGUUGUGCUGACAACGUUUGUAUGAGGAAGCCACUUAAUUGUUUGUAUCCUCUGAAGUUUGUUGAACUCAUGAUGCCUAGUUUCUUAGUUCACUUGUGUACUUCCCUUGGGUUGAUGCAAAUUCAGUGCAUAUCAGAAUGUACUCUACUCACUACGGUAAAUCCAACCACAAAGAAUAUCCAGGAAUUAGUGAGACAGCAUUCAAGAAGAAGGACCGAGUGGAAGAUCGCAAGACAAUUCGUCUGGAUGGAUGGCUCUUGUCUUCAAUGUCACUUCUAUUUUAUUUUAUUUCCUUUUUGGCCUAGACAUGUACACCAUUGAAAUUGGCUCUGAGAGCCAUGCCAUAUACGAUUAUGAAACAAUUAAUUUACCUGAAGAAUAAGUACAUAUUUCUUUUUUAUACUAUUUCAGUCAGUUUCAGCUAUAUUAGGAUCAGACACCACUAUUUUGAAAAUUUAAUAUUCAUAAUCUUAACGAGGCAAAAACAAUUAGGCUGUUUGGAUUUUGUCACGUAGAAACCUUUCAAAAAAAUAUCUCAAUGAUUGAAUUUUCGAAAGUCUUGAAUUCCUUUUUUUCACCAUUGAGUGGUUUGAACAUUUUCAUGUUUAUAAAAAAUCACAAUUGAGUGGUUUGAAAAUUUUCAAGUUCCAUUUUAUUUUAUUCAGAAUAUCUCUCAAUGUUUGAUAUUUCCAUGUUUUAGAAUAUUCUUGUUCAGAAAAUUUCAUGGUCCUCACUUCUAAUUGACUGGUUUGAUAUUUCCAUUGAGUGGUUUGAACAUUUUCAAGUUUUAAAAACAAAUACAACUGACUGGUUUGAAAAAAUUUAAGUUCAGUUUAUUCUAUUCAGAAUAUCUCCCAAUGUUUGAAAUUUCCAUGUUUUAGAGAAUUCCUGUUCAGAAAAUAAGUCAUGUGUGUAUUAAAAUAUCAAUUUUACAGGCUAAUUUAAUGUUUGAAUCUGAUAGGUCAGUACAAAUAUGAAAAAUAUCAAUAACUUGGGGUAAAACAUUACUUACAUGGAUAUUACACUAAAUAUGUGUCUAACAGAAACUACUUAGCUCUAUAAAUAUAAUUAUGUUUCUUCCCUUUGGGUAAACAAGGAAAGACUAUUGCAUACUUCCAAAUAUGAGCUAAUAUUUCCAAUUCAUGUUUUUUCACAUAUAAUUCAAACAUGUGAAUUAACAUAGUAGAUUGGAUCCGCACGAAAGGAGUUUCAAAAUCACCUUGAAAUGUUCAGUACCGUAAAACUGAAAUGUUCUUAAAACAGUGUUAUAUGAUCAAGAGCAUAUAUAUAGUUUGAGGAUGAAAAUCGCCUCAAAUGUUGGUCCUCAUAUAAUGCAGCAUCUAUAGGAAAGUCUAGAAGAUCUUAAUCCCUUUUUCUUUUUUAUCUCUACUAAAGGUAUUGCUAAUAAUUCAGAUUUGGCAAAACCAGAUGAACUAUAUGGUAUGCCAAAUAUGGAAAAAGGGUCACAUACCUUCAAGUAAUGUCAUCAAAUUUGAGUCAUUAAGCUCUCCAUAUUGCCCACCAGGUUCACCAGAGCAAUUCGAUGUAAAAGUAAUACAAAAUGAAAGAACUAGAGAUUAGUUCAGACAAAUUUACUCACAGGGGUAAUAAUGCUCUUGCACUAAUCUAGCCUUAUGGUGCAAGCAGCAAACGGCUGGGCAAUGUAAGUUAUUGCACAACCCGCGACCCACUUUAUACUUUGGUUAAGAACUUUUCCUUUGAUGAAAUGCGAACACAAACUUCAGGCAUCCAAGAAAGAAGUCAAGAUCGAAAUCGAAGCAUUGUCAUUGGGUAAAAGAAAAAACUGCGAAAAAAUCCGUUUUCCUAAAUAAAAAGAUCAAGAAAUCUAUUUUGAAAUAAUUCAGAACAAUAGAACUUGGAAGUUGCAUGUGAUAGUUUAUAAAUCUACAUAGUAGGAAGAUAUUAUACUAUGCAGCCACUGCUCAAUACGGCAAGACACUUAUAAACUUCACAUAUAAGGCAAGACACUUAGUUUAUAAAUCUGUUUGCAUGCGGCGAUGAAUUUCGUAGCUAUUGGUGGGUAGUUGCACCAUCAACCUUAUGUUGCAUCAAAGAACAUAUGAAGAAAUGAACUAUAUAACUAAAAGCAGCCCAAAUCCUGUACGGGGACAAAAUGAAGAGAAAAUAGGAGAGAACUCAGGGAUCAUAGAAAUCUGAAGCUCAUAAUUCUGAAGUCAUACAUGAAUAUAACAGCACAAUCAUGACUUAAGUAAGACAUGUAAAAGAAGGAAAAUGUUGGACGACUUAUGAAGGAUAUUCUGAAUUCUGAAACCUCUCUAAGAAUUUGGGGAGGUUUUCCAAUUUUUAAGUGAAAAUUAGGUACCAUACAUCAGAAAACGUAUGCAAAAGCCAUUCCACUGCUUUUUCAAUCUGAAAUUAGAACUUUUUGCAUACACCUAUAUGUACUGCAAUUAUUAUUUCGUAAAUUUGACGGUGCAUAAACUUUAAAGCACAACAAAAACUUUUACUACAACUUCAACAGAAAAAUGAAACAUUUGCUUAGUCAGUUUGCUUACCAGGAACUAAUAGGACACCCAGAUCACUCACACAUGAGAAAAUAAAGAAGUGUCCUUGUGAACACACAGCAUCUUAUAAAACACAUGGCUACAUACAGCCUAGUGCUUGGAUAAGUUUCAAUUAAAACAUACAAACUGAAUAAACAUCAAAUCAUCACAGUUCAAAAUACUAGAGUAGAUCGAACCUUAAUGGCACCUCACGCAGCAAUCAGUUAAAAAUUGAUCACUUCAUAAAUCCCACCAGCCUGUCACUAGAGAAAUCUUAAUUGCAACCAUCAGAAAAUUGCAGGUCUCAAACAACUAAUGCUUUGAAAAUUCUAAAUCUGAAAAUACAGAAAAUAAACAUUAUAUAACCAUGACCUACCAAUUGACAUUAAUAUAAAUCUAAUAAGGCCAUGGGUUUAUCUAAAACAUUGAGAUAAUCAUAUAUGACAGAAUCACUAGCCAAGAAGCACAUAGGAACUGCAUCCCGUCCCUCGCGGUCACAGCCGCUGCAGAGGUAUGAAGGGCAGUUACUCGGGGUGAAACAGUUACUGAGGAAUAGGAAGGAGGAAUAAAGUGAAAGAUAACAGAGACAGUGGAGGCAAUGCCAGUGCUGCCGAGGUCACAAAACAGUAGCCCGAUGUGAGCGCACAUCACAACUCAGCUUAAGUGGAUCAAUUUAUUUAUCAAACAAGCCGAUUACAUCCUAACUUAUCGACUUGAACACAUGAACCGGACUCUGUAACAGCCUAACAGGGCCCAUCAAUUGGCAUAGACACAUCGAAAGACAACCAGAGGAGGAACUCUUGCUAGAAAGCUUGGGAAGAUUCGACUAGAUGACAACUAGGUAGAAGAACUCCUCGCCAUCCCCACCAAUCAGCGACUCCUCUUCCCUGCCUUUGCCUUCCAGCUUAUCCUGCUAGAUGUUUUGGACUUGUAAUCCGAUUACUUCUGGUUGUCUCCUCAACACUCAGCAACAUGAAGGCCAUCAGUGAGUUUAAUUCGGUUGUAUGUGCUCCGACAUUGACAGGAAAACAAAAGAAAGCAAGUUAUUCAUAUGGCCUCAAAAAGACUCUGCAAUAAACACAAGGAGAGUGUAAAAGAUUGAACCUUCUUCAGGCGAUUUGGUCAGCACGACCAGGGGGGUUUGGUUGAUACGACUAGAUGACCGUCCAGUAGACCAGCUCCUCGACAGUCGGCUCCUUUUCACCCCCUUGCCGCUCCAGGAUUUCUUCUGCCACAACUGCCGCAGCUGUCUCCUGGUCACGGCUGUUCUGCCCCUCGG